UUUGUCCUUCUCCGAGGUAUUCAAGUCCUCGAAGAGCGUCUCUAUUGAGUCGAUCCACGACUCCACGAUCGCUGGCUCCACCAAACCGCCUUCAAAGGUAGGUGGAUCGAACUUCUUGAAUUGUAUGAGAGCCGCCAAAGUGCGCUCUCGCUUCGCAUCGACUGCCGCACCGUCGUGGUUUGAGGUUUCCGAACCUGCCGGUACUACCGUAACUGGCGUAGCCGCCGUUGCCGCCGCUUCCUCGACUGCCCUCGGCACUACGGCAGGGUGCACUGGUGGCUCCGCGCCCACUUGGGCCGCCACCGACUGUUAACGCUCCAUAACAUCCUGGAGCCACUGAAUCUGUUCCCCUUGGCGUUGAACAGACUCCGCUUGUUGCCACACUAUGCCAAUAAGCGCGGUCAUUUGUUCCCUAAGCUCUCCGUCGCCACUUGCUCCGGAUUGCUCGGGCACCGCAUUCGUUUCCUCCGGCAUCAACCUUGUCUGCGAUCGACGUCGAGGUGCCAUUGCUUCCUGAAAAGAAGCAACUCGCAUUAGUCACUUGACCAACAUUACUCGACCAUACCCAAUUAGGCGAAAGCAACAUACACAUUCAUCCUUGCCUCAAGCGUCAUGUCGUCGGCCGCCCGACACAAUACUAGAAGUAGAGGAUAAACGAAAUUUCAACUUAGCCUCUAAUCAUAUUAGAGACGUCCCUACUUAACCCAAUCACAUGCUUUCGCUAACUUUGAUCCCACGUCACUCACGUCUCCUAGAUCCUUAAGGUCUGCCAAUCCUAUAGGUUUCUAGGUCCAUUCCAAUUCUUUCACUCUUGGCUCUGAUACCACGAUAUCUGUCAUGCCCCGGGACCGAUACCAAUUUGGCNNNNNNNNNNNNNNNNNNNNNNNNNNNNNNNNNNNNNNNNNNNNNNNNNNNNNNNNNNNNNNNNNNNNNNNNNNNNNNNNNNNNNNNNNNNNNNNNNNNNNNNNNNNNNNNNNNNNNNNNNNNNNNNNNNNNNNNNNNNNNNNNNNNNNNNNNNNNNNNNNNNNNNNNNNNNNNNNNNNNNNNNNNNNNNNNNNNNNNNNNNNNNNNNNNNNNNNNNNNNNNNNNNNNNNNNNNNNNNNNNNNNNNNNNNNNNNNNNNNNNNNNNNNNNNNNNNNNNNNNNNNNNNNNNNNNNNNNNNNNNNNNNNNNNNNNNNNNNNNNNNNNNNNNNNNNNNNNNNNNNNNNNNNNNNNNNNNNNNNNNNNNNNNNNNNNNNNNNNNNNNNNNNNNNNNNNNNNNNNNNNNNNNNNNNNNNNNNNNNNNNNNNNNNNNNNNNNNNNNNNNNNNNNNNNNNNNNNNNNNNNNNNNNNNNNNNNNNNNNNNNNNNNNNNNNNNNNNNNNNNNNNNNNNNNNNNNNNNNNNNNNNNNNNNNNNNNNNNNNNNNNNNNNNNNNNNNNNNNNNNNNNNNNNNNNNNNNNNNNNNNNNNNNNNNNNNNNNNNNNNNNNNNNNNNNNNNNNNNNNNNNNNNNNNNNNNNNNNNNNNNNNNNNNNNNNNNNNNNNNNNNNNNNNNNNNNNNNNNNNNNNNNNNNNNNNNNNNNNNNNNNNNNNNNNNNNNNNNNNNNNNNNNNNNNNNNNNNNNNNNNNNNNNNNNNNNNNNNNNNNNNNNNNNNNNNNNNNNNNNNNNNNNNNNNNNNNNNNNNNNNNNNNNNNNNNNNNNNNNNNNNNNNNNNNNNNNNNNNNNNNNNNNNNNNNNNNNNNNNNNNNNNNNNNNNNNNNNNNNNNNNNNNNNNNNNNNNNNNNNNNNNNNNNNNNNNNNNNNNNNNNNNNNNNNNNNNNNNNNNNNNNNNNNNNNNNNNNNNNNNNNNNNNNNNNNNNNNNNNNNNNNNNNNNNNNNNNNNNNNNNNNNNNNNNNNNNNNNNNNNNNNNNNNNNNNNNNNNNNNNNNNNNNNNNNNNNNNNNNNNNNNNNNNNNNNNNNNNNNNNNNNNNNNNNNNNNNNNNNNNNNNNNNNNNNNNNNNNNNNNNNNNNNNNNNNNNNNNNNNNNNNNNNNNNNNNNNNNNNNNNNNNNNNNNNNNNNNNNGUUCUUAUUGCCCCACUUUACUUUAACUUUACACAUUGUCAUUUUCAUCAUUCUUUACAUCACUUUGGUUCUUUGGCUCACACUAACUCUAGUGUCACUUUACUUUACGUUUUCAAAUGCCACUCGAUCUAUGUCAUAGUGUCACUCUGUUCUUUUGCUCACUUUGGGUCCUCACUUUUCUCUCAUGCAUACACAUAGGGUUUUCGACGUUUACAUAGUUCUCAUUCAUCAUAUUAUGCAAGUUGUACUCACAAUCAUGCAUCAUUAUAUUUUCAUCAUUACUUUACCCUAAAAUGCAUGCAACAAUAUAUAUACACAUGCUCAAUGAAUGACACAUUAGGCAUAGAGAGAAGUUCAAUGAGUUUGAGAAGCACCACCCACCUUGUAGGUCUGUUUAGGUGCUCCGACGAUUUUCUUGGAAUUUUUAGACACCCGGUUCACUACCUGCGGCAUAACAAAGCCAAAUUAGGCUUAUUUGGCCAUAACUUUACAUACACUUUUCGCAAUGCUAUUCCAAGCGCACCAACGCGUCGGAAUUACCCCCAAUUAGGUUUCUAGAGGGUCAAUUGCACUUAGAAAUCUCCAUGAGCAAAAGCCCCAAUUUGGUGCCCUAGCUCCAAUACAUAUAUCAAACCUAGGGUUUGAUCUCAAUGGGAAGCAAAAGUAGCUUCAUUAUCCUCUAAAAAGUCCAUUAGAACCAUCUUUAGAUAAAUCAAAACCCUACUUAGGGUUUCACCAUGAGAGGUGAUGAAGCUCACCUCAAGCUUCACCAUUUUCAUGGUCUUGAUCUCUAAAGAAGCAAAAGAAAAGCUUCCAAUACUCUAAAAGUUCUAUAAAAACCAUCCUUACUCUAAUCCAAACCCUAGUUUGGGAUUUAACAUGAGAAUGGGCAAAGCUUACCUCUAAGCUUGCUCCUUUCUUGCUCUAGAGAGGAAGAAGAUGAAGUUGUUUCACUCCAAUAGCUUCUUCUCCACUUUCUUCUUCUUCUUCUUCCUUUCUUUCCUUUGUCUUCUUCUCCUUCUUUGUCUUCUAGAGAGAGAGAGGGAGAGGGAUGAGUUUGGGUGUGAGGAAAUGAGAGGGAGAGGCUCUCUCAGCCCUAAACAUAACCCACAUAAUGCAUUUUUGCACAUAAGUCCCUCAGCUUUUAUCUCAUUACACUGCCCGAACUGGGCAGUUCGCGCAGCCAGGGACCGGUCCCGAAGGCUCUCCUCACGCAGCCAGAGCUGUUGCGCACAGGGCAACCGGUCUCUCUUUGGAGGACCGGUUCCCGAGAGCUGGUUUCUCAGGACUUAGCCGAUUUUUCGGCUAUUUCAAUUCAUACGCGUUCGUGGACCGGUCUCUCCCACCAGGGACCGGUCCCCGAGAGCUCAAAACUGCUGAAUGCAGAUUUUGAUUCUAAGAAAACCUCCGGUAACUCACUUUUAAUCAUUUCAACGCCUUCAGACUUUCCGAAGUGUACCGUCCUCACUUUGGUCAAUUUGACUAAAGUUCGACAUCUUUAUUUUCCGAAUUUUCAGUAUAUUACACACCCUCUCGUAGAUCCUGGGCUGGAGUCCUCGUAAGAACCAGUCAGCCCGGUCCCGGUCGUCACGAACAACCUCCGGGACGCAGUCGAUAAGGUGGGAGAACUCCUGCUCGUAAUCCGCCACGGAGCGGUCCCCCUGUCGCAACUUGCGGAAUUUCUCUUGCAACUUCCGCUUCACCGUAUUGGGGAAGUAGUUGGCAAACACUGCCCUCCGGAACUCCUCCCACAUCAUAGGCGAAAGAUCGGGCGAUCGAUCCCGCUUAACACGCUUCCACCACACCUUCGCCGCCUUCUCGAGGCAAUGUGUGGCGAGGUACACCUUGUCCCUCUCCAAGGUGUUAAGAUCCUCAAAGAGUGUCUCCAUGGAGUCGAUCCAUGACUCCACGAUCGCCGGCUCCACCACUCCACCUUCGAAGGUGGGUGGGUUAAACUUCUGAAACUGAAUGAGAGCUGCCAACGUGCGCUCCCGCUCCGCCUCCCCCGCCGCACUAUUGGGAUUUGAAGUCCCCGAUCCCGCCGGCACCAUCGUAACUGGCACGGCCGCUGCGGCCACACCUUCGGCCGCACUCGGCACCACAGCAGGAGGCGCAGGGUGCACGGCCUCCCCGGGUGCCGCCGCCUGUUGCCGCUCCAAAGCCUCCUGGAGCCUCUGGAUCUGCUCCCCUUGGCGCUAAACGGACUCCGCCUGCUGCUGCACUACGCCAAUAAGCGCGGCCAUCUGCUCCCGAAGCUCCCCGUCGCCACCUGCUCCGGGUUGCACGAGAGCAGCAUUUGGCUCCUCGGCCAUAGACCUCGUCCGCGGUCGACCACGAGGCAACUUAAGUCGUCCACGAGGCGGCAUCGCUUCCUGAAAUGAAGCAAUUCACGUUAGUUACUCAGACAAUAUACUCGAUUAUACCCAAUCCGGCGAAAGCAUACCAGUACAUUUAUUUUCCUUCCAAAGCAUCAUGUCGUCGGCCGCCGAUCACAACACAAAGGAAAGAAAACAAAUAACAACUUUAAGUUAACCUCUAACCACAUUUGAGACUUAUUAGCAUUAACCCAAUCAUAAGCUUUCGUUAUAAUUGUUCAACGUCACUCACGUUUCCUAGAUCCUUAGGGUUUUUCAAUUCCUAAGGGUCUCUAGGUCCAUCUUAUGCUUUCACCUUUGGCUCUUUUAUGCUCUGAUACCAUAUUAUCUGUCACGCCCCGAGCCCGAUCCCUUUUGGCCGGUUCGAGAGCGUCAAACAGACGCCGAACGGGCAGAGCUUCCCCUGUCCACCCAAGGCUCAACACAAGUAUCAAUAGAGUACCAUUUGCAUAAGCGGAAGCAUACACAAUGGCUUGCACGUGGGCAAGCAAUAGCCAAGGUGAAAGAAUUAACCAUUCAAUAUACAAGUAAUAUGCCUAAAUUUAAAUCACAUACAUGUAUCCAACUAUAAUCAAGUUCUGUCACAUUCUUGCGUCAUUUCUUUUUAUAUCUCAUUUCUCCCAAAAUAUAACAUUUGACAUUUAAAGUAAAUAUCCUUUACAUCAUUCAUUAAAGCAAGUUCAUAAUACUAAAAUCAUCAAAUACAAAAGAUGAUAGUAAAGGGUAUGCAACUACAAAAUGAAAUCCAUCUCGGGCGGUCUCUACCUAGGGCGCGAUGCCCUUACUGCGAUCAUCUGCCGGCUCGCUCGGUCCCGACUCUGUGGAAAUAGUGGGGUGAGAACUACAACAAAGUUACCAGUGGGUUCGGCAACCAACCACGCCGACUAUCCCACUAGGUCUAAUCAGACAUAAUAGAAGAAAGAAUAGAUAAUAACCAACUAACAAAUGAAGCUAAUAUGCCUGAACGAUAAAUAAAACUAUGCUCGAUAGAAUGCUCAUGAUGAAUGCAAAAUUAACUUUUCAUUACCGAAUCUCAUGGUUAGCCCGUAGGUUUCGCCCUCACAAACUCACCAACCUAAAUCCCUAUGGUCGGAGAGAUAACCGCUACGACCCGACGGGACCACCCUCUAGGGAGAUAACCGCUACGACCCAGUGAUGACAACUCCGGAGCACAUCGCCCGAGGGGGAGCUACCGCUCUCGAGCAAGGACUAUUAGGUGAGUACGAUCAAUCCUUAACUUUAAGGAUUCCAAGUUCAAUCCAUUCCUUGACUCCAAGGAGAACCAUGUUCAUAUGACCCUUAACUCUAAGGUGCAUUUGUCAUAAUGUCACUAACCCAAUUCACUUGCAUUCUCUAACCUCUACUAGUGUCAUGUACACUACUUGAUCUUGUUCUUUGUCAUUGAUGCCACACUUGUUUUCUAGGUGCUAUGUUCUUGUACUCAUGCCACACUUUAUGUCUACGUCAACAUGUCACAUUUGUUUACUAACCCUUCUAGGUUCUUAUCCCUUGUCAUGCAUAUGUAGGGUUACCAAUUCUCAUUCAUUUACUACUAUUUUUCAAGCAUUAAAACUCAUGUCAUGCAAUAGAAAUUUACAAUUAACCCUACUAUGCAACAUGCUCAAUAUAAGUACAUAUGCUCAAAUAUGACGCUUUAGACAUAAAAGGAUUUCCGAUGUCCUUGGAAUGCACCACCCACCUUAGAUGGUUACAAAGAUGCUACGAUGAAUUUCUUGAAAUUUUCGAAGCCCUAGUCCGCGCGCUGCGGCUAUCUGUACGGAAAAUGACGUUUUUGUAAAUAACUUUGCGCACACUCGUCGGAUUGUUGAACCGAGCGUUCCAACGCGUUUAAAAUACCCUCAAUCAGGUUUCUACAUGAUCAAAAUAGAUCAAAACCUCACUUGGGCAAAACCUCUCUUUGGGAUGCCCUAACAUGCUAUUUUUACAUUUUUCCUAGAUUGAUCUCAUUGCUAAGCAAAAGAAAGCUUAGAUACACAUGGGAAGCUCUCUAAUAAGGUUUCCAAGCUUUCAGAACCAUCCCUAGGGCAUCCUUCGAGCCCUAGAGAUCCACCAUGAGAGGGGUCCAAGACAACCAUGGAUUUCAUGAUUUCAAGGUCCCUAAAGGGUUUCCUCACUUGUAGAGAGAUCAAAACCCAAAAAUCUAAGGUCUAAACCCAAACCCUAAACUCAUUUUUGCAUAAGGACUCACCUUUGCCCAAGCUCCACCCAAGCCUUCUUGUUGGAGAGCUUCUAGAGCCACCCAAGCCUCCAAAUCCACCUUCUCCAAGCUUUUCUCCUUCUUCUCCAAGCCCUAGCCCAAGCUUUUAGAGAGGGAAAGAGAGGAAAUGAGAGGGAGAGGAGAGGAGAUGGGUUUUGCUGUGAAAAUGGGAGAGGAAUAGGCCAAAUAACAUGUUGUGACAUUUGCAAUUGGGCCCCUCAACUUAAUUCUGUAGCAGACUUCACCCCUGCUGCCAGAGCCCUUGUGUACCGGUACACGGAUUUGUGUACCGGUACGGGCCUGCGCAGAAGCCCAAACGCGAGAGCAAGGUCGCUUGGUUUCGCAGCUUCUGUACCGGUACACGGGUCCCGUACCGGUACACCUUCGCCAGACUCAAACCCGAGAGCAACCUGUGCUUGGGUCGCUUGCUGUACCGGUACAGCCAUCAUGGCGUACCGGUACACAAUGCUUCAGAUUUCAGGUUUGGUUUCGAUUCGACUCUACUUCGCGCCGAUCGAUGCCAAACUCAUACUAAUACCUCUUUAACUCACUUUUGCCCUUCCAAACGUGUUGGAAUGCAAAAUGGAACUCACUAAUACAUUUCUCUCGACACUUUAACCAAUUUGAUUAAAGUUCGAUUAUCGUUUUCGGGUUUCGAUACGUUACAGAUAUAUUAUAAUUUGGGUUAAGAUUAAUAGUGAGGACAAGUUAAAACACGCCACAAAAAAUGUGUAUAUUGUGACGGUCAUAAAUUUCCCACAAAUAAUUUGCCACAAAAAGCCCUCCUUCUUGUAGCUGCGGAGGGUUGGUUUAUAGCGUAUGUCAACCUUACGAUCUUACGCGGUGGAUCCAUUAUUGAAAUUGUGUCACGCCCCGGAUUACUCGUUUCUCCGGGCACGCCGACAAAUCCGCCGUAUACAAAGAAAAUUUUUCUGUAUACGAAGCGAUAGUUGUACCUGUACCUAUAAUCAUAAUCAUACAACACUGCAACCAGUAGUAUAGAGCUGCUAAAAAAAGAACAUAUAUAAAUAACAUCGGUUCAAAUACAUACAUAAUAUCCUGAUACAACAACACUCGCUCCCGCAAGUAACUAACAUCAGUAUGUAAAUGAACCAAAAACUACAACUAUCUGUAGCUGGUAAAAGUCUCUAGGUCAGCAGCAACUAGGAAGGGAUCUAGCUCGCGACUCCCUUUCCAUGAUCAGUCUCCACGACAGCAGCAGUUGAAGAAGAGGGCUCUGCAAAAAGGAUCCACAACUAGGUGUGAGAACUACUGCAAAACGAACUAGUCCUUAGUGGGUACCGCUACCGACCGGCUCACCCACUAAGUCUACAGAUGUAUGCAGAGAUAGUAAGGAAAGCUGGAACAAAUCUACAGCUAAAAACCGCUAUACUAUCAUGAUCCAACACUAACAAUCUGUAGAAAAUGUAAAUCUUGACCCAAUCUCAGUAGGGCUGUUAACACACCUGUCCCGCCUGUCGAAUCUACACUAACUGCCACCACGCUAGGUCAUCAGUGGAGAGCAAGUCCAAACAGGACAAACCGAUAUCAACGCAAAAGCACUAAGCUCAACUCCGGAGUGGCACUCGUGGGCGCUACCCAACCGAGUAUGCAAGUGUGUCUCUGCCGAGCUCAAUCAGGCUCUCACAGACUGUAAUCAAAGUAGAAAGGUCUCACUGGUCUAACAACCAUAAUCCACGUGCCCUCGGCACAAUCUGAUGCAAAAACUGCAAACUGGGUCCACCGUCAACCACAACGGCACCCGACAGUCCGAAACGGUCUAUACACUACUGUAAAAAUAAGCUCGGCAUCCCAGCACGAGCAUAAAUGCAUUCUACACUAUUCUGUGUAUCCACCGCCCACAAACUGCGAUGAUACAAACAAACUACGGCUUCUAGAGCUAAAUCUGAUAGUUUGAGCAAAUGACGGUGUAGAAUCGAUAGUUUUCUCCUAAGUCUAUUUCAAGUCCAACAUAUAUAAUUUAGCUAAUAUUCUAAGCUCCAAUUCAGAUUCAAGAACCAUACAAAUCAAAUAAUCGAGCUACUAAACAUGCUAAACGAGGCUAAAUACACAUGCUAUCAACAUAUAGGCUUAGGAGGAAAUCCGUAAAAUCCAGUAAGCAUCAUUAACCCACCUCGAAACGCUAAUCCACGACGGCAGAAAGUCAAAAGAAGCGGAACCACGCGCUUACCCAGCCACCGAACGAAGCAACUAAGACGCACGUACGCUCAAACAGCUCCUCGACGCGAAGUCGACGUCGAUCUGGGCUCCAACCGCAAGCUCCACCUUGCUACGGUCAAGGAUGAGAGAGAGAGAGAGAGAGCAAAGCAGAAGAAAACCCUUCUCUACCUCUCUACAUGUAUAAAGAGAGGUGGAGGAUAAGGGUGACAACAACGAGGCAGCCAAAAGACCAAACAGCCCCUCACUUACCCUGGAGUACCGGUACCAGGCCAAUGCCGUACUGGUACCCCGUAUCAGCCUACGCAACUCGAGAGCAGCGAACAGAAUUUCUAUACAGUGGUACCGGUACUCCCCUGUGUGGUACCGGUACUAAAUGCUGAAAAUAUGCAAUUUGCAGGUUUCAGUGCUAACUUUCUGCUCUCGCGUCACAUUGAGUUUGUUUUGCGUCUAUUUCGCGCCAACAUGACUCGGACUUGUUCCGACACUCUCCAGAUGUGUCGACAAGCCUCAGAUGCUGCAAUUCCACAGCAUUGGCCACCCGGUAUACUACAAAUUGCCUGCAAUUGGGGCUCUCCAUCUGCCGAUUAUAUGACAGCCAAGGAGGAUGCAGCACGAGUUGUCAUCCAAAGGAUGAAGGAAGAACUAGGUUUGCAGAUAAAGGAUGCAAACUACGACGAUUUCAUCCUAUAUUAGAAUUUGUACAAUAAUGUUACGCUCCAGAAUAGCGACUUGGUUGGCCAGUUCACAAAUCUUAGGCGUGAGCACAGCCUCCUUAAAGAUUGUUAUGCAACUGUGGUGUCAGAAAAAGCUGACGCCAUAACUGAGCAGAUUAGAUUGCGCCAUGAACUCAAUGAUUGUGAUGCUACAAUCAACUGCCUUCGUGCUGGCCAAUCUGCUAUGGCGUGUGGCCCUUCUGAUGUAGGAUCAUCUACUUAUUUCUUCACUUCGUACUAUUUAGUUUUAGAAUGUCCAAUCGGCUUCUUUUGUACUAUAGAGCCGAUUCUCAUGGCUUCACAUGUUUUGUUCAUUUGUCGUUUUUGUGAAGAAAGCCAUGUACUAUUGCCUAUUUUUUUCUUUUUUAAUGCAGUUCGGUAUGUCAAACCUGUGGUUCUAUUGCUAAUUUGGUUUGUAGCUCGUGUUCUUUGGAUUUCUCUUCUGUCCUAUGACUUCAGGAUAUUAUGCAAGUAAAUGAUGCAAAAUGUUGCUGCUUUAGUUUAAUACGUUUUUGCUUGCUGAACCUCAGCUAAGUUAGUUAAAUAUCAUAAUAUCUUUGUAAGGACUGAGAUUUUUUCAGUGCUACUAAACUCUCUGUUGACGAUGUUUAUGUGUGUAAUUUAAUUACAUAAGCACUCGUCAAGUUUCGGGAGAAACUGAGCUAAAACAGAGAAGUUAAACGAUUAUUAGUUUUCACUUAAGUGAAUAGUAACUCCGGUUUUUCGGUGAAGCCACGGAGUAGAGCUGGCUUUCGGCGCGUAUCGGACUUCGUUCAUAGCGAUCCAAUAGCUCAUUUUGAACGGUUCAGCUAUUCUGGAACCAAUGGCACUGACGGAUUUCGGAUCUGAUGCACGGUUUUCGAGAAAAAGGAGUUUUAACAAAAAGAGAGUUUCCGCUCUUUGCUAUUCGUGCAUUUUAAAACUCCUCGUGCUCUGUGCUUGUGACCUGGGAUUAGGUGAGAGUUGUUUCUGGUACCUACUGGUGGUAGGGAAUUCAAAUUUGAAUUUGGAUUAAAGGUUUUAGGGUUUAUACUUCGGUAUAUGCGCGAUAUACGGAUUAAUUAGAGAGCGGGUGGGUUCCGUCGCGAAUCCGUGACCAAAUCUGACAAAACAAGAUGGUAGUUUGGAUGCCCUCGUUGUGCUGAACGUGAUGGUGCGAUCCGUUCGGAAAUCCGAUGAACGGAUUGUCGGAUAUUGCAUGUUGUUCGCUAAGGGGUCGAAGGUGGCAAAUCGGAAACUUCGCAAAAGUCAUUGUAUUUUAUGUACCGAAUCGCUUGAGAUCGAAUGUGGAGGUGCGUAUGUGCANNNNNNNNNNNNNNNNNNNNNNNNNAAAAAAAAAAAAAAAAAAAAAAAAAAAAAUUCGCUGUGUUUUUAACCUAAAGGGACCCCGGGGCGUGACAAUCUUCAAAGUGGUGGCAUAAAAGAAAUAGAUGCUUUGUGACUUCAAAUAAUUUGUUGAGCGAUGAUGAUACAGAAUAUUAAAAGGCUAGGCUUUAUGGCCUUCGGCAACACCUUCGUCAAAUGUUGGAUAAAAAUUUUUAAGUCAUGGAUGCUUUCUCCCCUCAAAUGAUUUGUUGGGCAAUUAUGGUUCGGAAUAUGGAAAAGGCCUAAACUUGAUGGCCUUGGGGUCCACUUGCAGCAGUUGUCGGGCCACCUUUUUCGUUUUUGCAGAUUCGAUUCGCUUUUUCAGCUGCCUGACCAAAAUGCCCCUCGUAUAAAAAAGCCUCCCACAUAUUUCUUGACAUACGUAUACCCUGCUGUACGUAGUCCAUUAACCUGGGAGCAAGUAUCACAUUUCUUUUGAUACAAAUUACACGAUUUUAUAGUACUUUGUAACAUACAAAGAAGACUUGCAUACAAUACAACGUUCUAUUACAUAAAAUUUAACAAAUUGUACAAAUAAUUAUUUAACAAAAGUAUGGAAUCAUAUAAGCUUGUCUGUAAUUCCACGCAGACAUAGUCGACGUAAACAGGUAUAGGCGGCCAAGGGAGAGUGCCGAAGGAGACUGUGAGGAGGAGGCGGCUCGCUCGGAAGGGUACGAACCAGCAACGAGGCGUUAAGAUAGACUCACAUUAUCUCGAAUGCUUCAUUUGCCAUGAGCCCGGUAGCUCGUAUGUCAAGGAAUACGCGGGAGGCUUUUUUAUACGAGGGGCAUUUUGGUCAGGCGGCUAAAAAAGCGGACCGAAUCUGUAAAAACAAAAAAGGUGGCCCGAUUUUACAAAAGCCCAAAACUAGUGGAUUUUUUAUGCAAAUUGGCCAAUAUAAAAAGUCAUAUAUUUUAAUAGAAGAAAAUGAAAAAUCAUCUGAGAAUAUGAAAGGCCAAUUUAGAAUCUAUAUCAAGGGUUGUACUCAUACUCAUUUUGGAUGAAUAAGAAAUGAUAUACUAAAUACUAUUUACUUUGUCUCAAGAAAAUUGACCGCACUGCCUGUAACGAUUAACUAUAUUUGGAAGUUAUUUUUUUAUUUGAAUUUGAUGCUUUAUUUGUUUACUCAGAUUUUUCUACCGUAUAGUAUAUUUUAAAUUACGUGGGAUUUGACUCUUCCAAUUUAAGCUAAAUUUUUUUCAGAAUUUCUAUACUUUUUUAAUAUUUGUUUUCAAUAUUUUGGUUACUAUGUUAUAAAUUUUUAUGUUUAUUUUUUUUUUUACAAAUCAUAAUGUCUCCAUUGUAUAAUGAUUUGAUUGUGGUGGAAAUUUUGAUAUAUUUGUUUAUAUUAGGGUUUAGAAUUUUUGAAAUGAUUAAUUAUUACGUAGCAUAACGUCAUAUUUGUUUGCUAAAUAAUAGAUAUGUUGAAAUUUGUUUGCUAAAUAUAUUUUUUAUUGUUUCUGAUUAAACCUACACGUCAUUACCUAUAUAAUAACGCAUCGGGUAAAUUACAUUGUUACCCCCUGAACUUUUGGCGAAGUUUCACUUUACCCCUCGAAUUUCGAAAAUGGACAUCUAACCCCCUAAACUCUAAUAUUUCAUUAGUGUUACCCCUUCCGUCAGUUUUUCGUCAAGCUCCGUUAACUGAAAACUGACGGAAGGGGUAAAACGAAUGAAAUAUUAGAGUUUAGGGUGUUUAGUGUCUAUUUUAGGAGUUUGGGGGGUUAAGUGAAACUCGCCAAAAGUUCAGAAGGUAGCAGUGCAAUUUACUUCUAGGACUCUUGACUGUAAAUUAUUUUAUAAUAAUAUGUUACUUAUGGAUUGACUACUAACCCUCAAAUAGUGAUCAUACUUGAUUUUAAAUUUUUAUAUAUUUUUUAUCCUAAAAUAAAUCAUACAAUAAUUUAUUCUAUAUUUUAUUGUAAUAAAAUAAAAGUGAAAGAAAUUAAUUAGAGUGACUUAAAAAUAAGAAAAGAGCGAUACUAACUACCUACAAUACUCGAACACUCUACUGUUAUGGUGUAUUCGCUAAUAUGGUUGAUUUACAAUAGGUGUCCUCACUUGGAUAUACAGAUUUUAAUUUUCAGUUAAUUUUCUGUAGUACUCGUUUGUCCCUUUUAUCCUUAGACGUAUUGUUCUAAAAUAUUAUAAUAUAUUAUUUUAUAUUUUUAUAUUAAAAUUUUUUAAUUGGCUGAAAUGAAGUACAAAAAUUUUAUUUUAGGCUACAAUAAAAUUACAUUGCAUAGUUUCAUAAGAAAUAAGUGUAUUUUCUAAUAAAAUAUUAUUUUAUAUUUUUAUAUUAAAAUUUUUUAAUUAGCUGAAAUGCUGUACAAAAAUUUUAUUUUAGACUACAAUAAAAUUAUAUUGCAUAGUUUCAUAUAAAAUAAGUGCAUUUUCUAUAAUAAUGCUUCUAAAGAUAAAAGGAACAAACGAGUACUACAGAAAAUUAACUGAGAAUUAAAUCUCUAUAUCCUAGUAAGCACACCUACUGUAAAUCAAUCAUAUUAGCAAGUACACGAGGACAGUAGAGCGUUCAAGUAUCGUAGGUAGUUAGUAUCGCUCUUUUCUUAUCUUUAAACCACUCUAAUUCAUUUCUUUCGCUUUUAUUUUAUUACAAUAAAAUAUAGGAUAAAUUAUGAUAUGAUUUAUUUUAGAAUAAAAAAUAUAUAUAAAUUCAAAAUCAGGCAUGAUCACUAACUUGAGAGUUAGUAGUCAAUCCAUAAAUAACAUAUUAUAAUAAAAUAAUUUAUAAUCAAGAGUCCUACAGGGUAAAUUGCACUGCUACCUCCUGAACUUUUGACGAGUUUCACUUAACCCCCCAAAUUCCUAAAAUAGACAUCUAACACCCUAAACUCUAAUAUUUCAUUCGUUUUACCCCUUCCGUCAGUUUCCGGUUAACGAAGCUUGACGGAAAACUGACGAAAGGGGUAACAUGAAUGAAAUAUUAAAGUUUAGGGGAUUAGAUGUUCAUUUUUGGAGUUCGAGGGGUAAAGUAAAAUUUCGCCAAAAGUUCAGGUGGUAACAAUGCAAUUUACCCAUAAAGCAUCUAUAUAAAGUUGUCAGAAAUAGAUGUGGUUUGAUACCUAUCGUGAUGAUUCAUUGUAAAAAAUUGAAAUGUGUAAAAUUUUUUUUUAUACUUUUCAAUAUACUUUAAAAUUACCAAAACUUAUAGAAAGUCUUUAUACUUUUCUAUAUACUUUAAAGUAAAUGUGUUUUACUCUCUACGAAAUAACUUAUAGAAAUAUAAAGAUCUAAAAUUUAAAAUUUAAAUUUUAAAAAUUAUAAUAUAUCCACCCGCCGCAUCGCGCGUGUAACGUAUCGAAACCUUAAUAGCGAUUAUCGAACUUUAACCAAAUUGGUUAAAUGCCGAGACAAAUGGUUGGACAAGUCCCAUUUCACAUUCCAACAAGGUUGGAAGGGCAAAAAUGAGUUUAAGAAGUGUUGGAAUGGUUUUGGCAUCGAACGACGCGAAGUAGAGUCGAGUCGAAACCAAAACAGCAAUCUGGAGCAUUGUGUACCGGUACACCAUGGUGGUUGUACCGGUAUAGCAAGCGACCCAAGCACUGUCUGUUAUCGGGUUGGCAUCUGCGCGGCCUCGUAUCGGUACGGGAGCCCGUGUACCGGUACGCCGUGGCUCUGGCAGCAAGGGUUGGUCUGCUACAGAAUAGAAAGUUGAGGGGCCUAGUUGCUAUUGUAGCAACAUGUAUUAUGCCAAUCCUCUCCCCCUUUUCACAGCAAACACACACACCUCCCUCUCUAAUUUCUUCCGCUUUCUCUCUCUAGAAGGUUGCCCUAGAGCAAGGAGAAGAAGGAGAAGGAGCUUGGAGAAGGGAUUUCGGGAGGAUUUGAAGAACUAGAAGCUCUCCUAUAAGAAGGCCUUGGUAGAGCUUGAGACUAGAGGUAAGUUUUUGCAAGAUAUCUUCUAGGGUUAGGAUUUAAACCCUAAGUUUUGAAGUUUUGAGUUCUUAGAGAUUUUAGAAGUAUGUUAGAGCCAUGAACACCACGAAACUCUAGUUUUUUUCAUGGUGCUCUAAUAGGGGAUUUUUAGGAUUUGCAUUCUAAGCCCAAGAAAAUGUUGGAAUGGUUCUAAAUGAGCUUCUAGAGGUUAGACAAGCUCUCUUUUGCUUGUUCUAGAGAUCAAAACCUAGGGUUUAGCAAUGGGUUUGGUUAGGGCACCAAAUUUGGGACUUUUGCCCUAGGAUUUUUCGGGGGCGAAUUGACCCCGUAGAAACCUAAUUGGGGGUGUCCUCGACACGUGGGACAACUCCGUUUAACGUUACGAAAAGGUUUAGAUGGAGUUAUUGAUAAAAAGCCUAAUUCGGCUUCGUUUUGCCGCAGGCGAAAAAGUAAAGCUUCAAAAAUUUCAAGAAAUUCACCGUAGCAUCCUCUCAACCUUCUAAGUUGGGUGGUGCAUUCCAAGGACCUCGAAAAUCUCUUUAUGUCUAAGUGUCAUGUUUUGAGCAUUUGUACAUGUUUGAGUAUUUUGCAUAAUAGGGUUAAAUUGUCAACUUUUUAUAGCAUGAUGUAAAUUCAAAUGCAUGUUAAAUACUUGUAAGAAUGUGAGAAUGGUAAUCCCUAUGUAUGCAUGAAUGUGACAUGAACCUAGAAGGGUUAGUAAACAAAAGUGACACCAUGACAUAGAUCUAACGAGAGGCAUUGAUGAGUCUAGAAUACUUAGAAAACAAGUGUGGCAUUUGGCAGGAGAACAAGAACAUAGCACUUAGAAAACAAGUGUGGCAUUUGGCAGGAGACCAAUAACAUAGCACUCAGAAAACAAGUGUGGCAUAAGUACAAGAACUUAGUAGUGUAUAUGACACUAGUGAUAGUAAAGAAUGUAAAGAAAAGAAUGAUUGAGAUAUUAUGACAUUUCAACCUUAGAGUUAAGGGUCAUUUGAGCAUGGUCUUCCUUAAAGUUAAGGAAUGGAUUGAACUUGGAAUCCUCAAUGAAGGAUUGAUCGUACUCACCUUUAGUCCUUGCUCGAGGGUGGUAGCUCUCCCUCGGGCGAUGUGCUCCGGAAUUGACAUCACUGGGUUGUAGCAGGUAUCUCCCCAGAGGACGGUCCUAUCGGGUUGUAGCGGGUAUCUCCCCGGUUAUUAGGAUUUUGGGUUGGUGAGUUUGUUGAGGGCGAAACCUACGGGUUAGCCAAGAGAUUGGGUAAAGAAAUUGUGAUCCUGCAUUCAUCAUGAGCAUUAUAUCGAGCAUCGCAUUUUAUAUUGUUCAGGCAUAUUAGUUGUAUUUGUUAGUUGGUUACUUUCUUUCCUCUAUUCUAUUAUGCCUGAUUAGACCUAGUGGGAUAGUCGGCGUGGUUGGUUGCCGAACCCACUGGGAACUUUGUUGUAGUUCUCACACCCCUAUUUCCACAGAGCUGGGACCGAGCGAGCCGGCUGACGAUCGUGGUAAGGGCAUCGUGCCCUAGAUAGAGACCUCCCGGGUGGUUAUCAUUUUGUAGUCGCAUACCCUCUACUUAUACAUCAUCUUUUAUAUCUUGAUGAUUAUGCUAUUAUGAACAUGUUAAAUGAAUGAUGUAAAAGAGUUUAUGUUUAAAUGUAAGAAUUUAUAUUUGAGAUCAUGCGAUGUAAAAGAGAAGAAAUGAUGCAAAAUUGUAAUUGAUUUCCUAAGUGUAGUUUACUUUUUUCACUAUUGGCUAUUGCUUGCCCUCGUGCAAGCCAUUGUGUAUGCUUCCGCUUAUGCAAACUUUAUACUCUAUCAGUACCUGUUGUUGAGCCUUGGGCGGACAGGGAAGGCUCUGUCCGUUCGGCGUCUGUUUGACGCUCUCGAACCGGCCAAAAGGAUCGGGCUCGGGGCGUGACAGCGUGGGUCACUACACUAGUAUAUAUUAAUUAGAAUAUAGGGUGUGUUUGGUUCGAAAUCAGAAUUGGAAUCAGAAUCAGAAUCGAAAUAAGCUGGAAUCGGAAUCGGAAUGACUUAUUACCUAAUUCUAUUUGGUUUAUCACCUGAAUCGGAAUCGGAAUAAAUCAUUUCCAUUGUCGGUGGUUGGUUCAGGUAGAUAUAAAAAAUGUAAUCAAAUUAAUAUACUAACUUUAUCUUUAUAAUAUAUUAAUUUAAAUUCAAAUUAAAAAUCAAAUAUUAAAAUUUUACAUCAAAAUUUUGAAAUAAUGCCAAAAUUUUAAAUCUUUUUUAAAAAAAUUAAACUUUGAAGUCGAGGGGAUAAUUCAAAAUAUAAAACUAAAUUUCGAUUUAUUCAAAUUCAAACCUAAAAUUACAAUUUAAAUUUUAAUUUGAAUCCAUAAAUUUAAUUUAAGUUUUAAAAUAAAAUUUGAAUAAAACUUUAUAUAAAUUAAAAUUUAAUUUAAAUUCAAAUUCAUAGGUUAGAUUUGAAAUAAUUGAUUAAAUUUUGAUUUUUAAUUCAAGUUCAAAUUAAAAUUUAAAAUUAUAUAUUUAAUUUCUAAAUUUAAACUUAUAUUUUAAUUUAAAAGUUUAAAAAAUAAAUUUAAUCUAAAUAAAUAUCCAUUCCAUUCGGAUUCAAUUUCCAAUCCGACCUAGGAGGCCAGAUUGGAAACAGAUGUGAUAGGGGAUUCCCAUUCCACUCGGGAAUCGGAAUCGGAAUGGGACUCCCGCGUACCAAACACCCACAAAUGGAUUCGCCCAUUCCGAUUCCGAUUUCAGGGUAAAAAAGAAGCGACCCAAACACGCCCAUAUUGUAGUUGAAGAGAGGGUAAAGAGAGAAGUAGUCUUAGGUCAAAAAUCUAUAAAUAUAAUGAAAGGGUAGUUAAGCCGAAGCCUCCCCGUUUGGCGGGGGGCUUCGGUGGGGCCCUUUUUUUUUCUCUCUCCUUCUCUCUCUUACUUUCUUUUUUUUAUUUUUUUCCUCUCUCUGUCACGCCCCGGAUUACUCGUUUCCCCGGGCACGCUAACAGAUCCGCCGUAUAUAUAGAAAUUUUUCCUGUAUACGAAGCGAAGCUGUACCUGUACCUGUAAUCAUACAACACUACAACCAGUAGUAUAGAGCUACUAAAAUAAAACAUAUAUAAAUAAUCCUCGGUUCAAUACAUACAUAGUAUCCUGGUACAAAAACUCUCGCUCCAGCGAGGGACUAACAUCAGUAUGUAAAAGAACAAAAAAAACUACAACUAUCUGUAGCUGGUAGCUGGUAUAACUCUAGACCAGCAGCAAAACGGGAAGGGAUUUAGUUCGCGACUCCCUUUCCACAAUCAGUAUCCGUGACAGCAGCAGCCGAAGAAGAAGACUCUGCAAAAAGGAUCCACAACUGGGUGUGAGAACUACUGUAAAAAGAAGUAGUCCUCAGUGGGUACCGCUACUGUCACGCCCCGAGCUCCGCCUAUUUGGUCGGAUUCGGGCUCGUCGACAGACCGCCGAACGGACAGAGCCUCCCCUGUACGUUCUAGGCGUCAACAAUCUAAACAAUGCAAUACAAGAGGUUCCAAACAGGAACUGUAGCAAGUAUGUAGAUUGCAUAUGUAUCGAAAACAUAAAGUGCAAACUAUGCUAUUACAAGUAUUCAUCUCAGAGAUUCUUUUACAUUUACCAUAUUUUACAUUUACAUAACCACAUAUGCUUUUAAGUUAAUAUGAAACUUAUACCAAUUACUACAAUUUUGUUUCUUUCCAUUUGAACUCUGAACUUGACCUCUUCAGGGUGUUGCUAUCUCAGUCUCAGUGGUGGGGCGCUAUCUACGAAGCUACGCCCUGUCCUCGCGCCGCCGCGCCGCUCGCGUGUAACCUGUACCCCCAAAACAACACGGGGGUGAGAACUAUAUAAAUAAUAGUUCCCAGUUACGGCCACCCAAAAAGAUCUCGAUCCCACCAGUCCAAAGGAGCAACAGAUAGGUAGUCUCAACAAAUAGAUAGAUAGAAUUUACCGAGCGAUACAAUAAAACCAUUAACCUCCCGCCUGCAAUGCAAUAGCAUGUUACCUGUAAUUCAUGUAAGUAGCAAUUAACUAUGAUUCUACUUAUUAUUAGCCUUCUCUAUUUGUAUGCUUUUAUUCUUUCCUAGCUACUUCACUUAUAGCUAUUUCGCUUUACUUCUUUUCUUUAUGCUUUAUUCUCUUAUCUUACCGUACUGCACACUGGCGAUUCUCUUAAGUUUAGCUUUACCUUAAGCCAUCUAGCCACCGACCGUCUUGGUCAAUUUAACCGCGGUACCGACGUCACAAGUCAGGCCGAGUGAAGACGCCACAAACACUUACCUCAGCCUAAGUCCACGCGACACUAGCUCCAUCACAGGAAUAGACCGUCACGCCCGUACCCUAAGCGCUUAACUCAACUGCGAGGAAAUUAACCGUCAAAACCCGUGCUCCGGAGAGAAACCGCAUCCCCGUUAAUCACUACGGAGAGAGAAACCGUCGAUACCCCUAGUUUGAUCACUUCACUUUUCAGGCAUACNNNNNNNNNNNNNNNNNNNNNNNNNNNNNNNNNNNNNNNNNNNNNNNNNNNNNNNNNNNNNNNNNNNNNNNNNNNNNNNNNNNNNNNNNNNNNNNNNNNNUAACAGAAUACUAUACAUUCAUGCAUUCACGCAUUCACACCGUAGUUUUACAUUCGAUGUUUAAAACAAAAGUUCCACGAAAAAUUUUUUGCAACUGUCAAUAGAAAAAAACUUUAUCUUAAGAGCUACCACGAGGGGUAGAAAACUCUUUUAUUUUAUCAAAUCCAGAAAUUCCUUUUAAUACAUUCAUGACAAGUCCACAUAUUCAAAUGUGAUAAAAAUACUGAACAUAUAAAUCUGACUAAGCUAUAACAACAGAAUAGGUAGGGAUAAAACUAAACGAUAACGCUGGGUCGUGAAGCUCUUAUCGACCGCUACGAACGUACCUACUCUCGUCCCAAAACUCAACGCUGCAAUAACCUGAAAAAAUAGAUCGGGGGAGGUGAGAACAUGUAAACAUGUCUCCCCUCCCAGUGGUACCGCAAGCCGAAGAAGGCGAGGAGUACUCACCGGAACAGGAAGAUAAACAAUAGUAUCAAGGGUAAGUGAAAUAUAGUAGGCUAUACGAAUCAUGAACGAAUGAGAUAUAUAUACGAAAGCACAACUACGCGCUACUGUAACUGUAAGCAACUCAAGCAUACAAUGGAUAUCAAAACUAAUAGUAGCAGACCGAACUGUAAAGAAAGAACUAGAAGUAUAUAUGCAACAACCGCUACUUGCUUAUGCUGUCACCGACGAUGAAGUCAAAAGUACAAAUCUUAUAAAACGAGGCCGAUUUCGCCGUGUCGGUCUAAGGACGCUCAGGAAAAGACCACUACCUGCUCACACCUGCAUUUAACCCUAGCAAGAGAACACCGCUGGGCUAACGGGUCGGAUGCACGACCACUUUCGAAAAAGAACACCCUCCUCGGGGGAUCAACCCGCUGGUGGUACGUGAAAUGCACUCGAGCUGGGCGACAAUGCGGAUAUGAUCAAUAGCCAAACCGCGCAAAUCAGCCGACAAUCACUGCCCCUCUGGGCCAUACCGACCGUGUAGUCAUCAAGUACAACCGGAACCGACCGAGAUAGGUCAAUGUACAUUAAAAGUAACAAACGACCAAAACGGUCACCGAUGCAAAUAAGAGAUUCCGACGCAACCAGGUCAGCAAGUAUAGUAUAAUACGAAAUCAUCAAUACUCUCGCCCUAUAAGCAGGCUACUACAACAUAGAAACAACUAGAGCAGAGUAAAUAAAGCAUAGUAUGAGAUACUGCUCGAUGUCAACUAAAGUACGAACGCAUAGAACUCGGACCGAUAGUCACAGGAGUGUAUUCGAUAUAGUCCAGAACUACCGUCAGCACCAGCCGACAAUCCUACCCCUCAGGGUACACCGACCUCAAAGUCCAUCGAACGACAGAAUCUAUAGAAAUAGACAACCCAAUACAUAAUGCAACAAUCGACAACCGGUCAACAGAUAUAAAUAACAGCAGCGGACAACUAGGCUCAGCCGAAACGAAGUACAGCAGAACGCGACCAAUCAGGUCACCGGGAACAAAGUAGCAAGAACGGCGACCAAUCAGGUCACGUAGGGAUCACAUAUUGAUAAAUUACUCUAGUCCUAACACAUGAUACUAAGCAAAGAAACAAUAUGAGUAGAGUAUAAUAGGAAGCAAACGGGCACUGCAAGCUCAAAUAGCUAUAUAAUCAAGAUAUAUAUGUAUACUAUAUAUACCAGAUAGAUACGAGAGAACAAAGGUAAGAAACAUACACCCGAGCGUGCACCACUUACAGACGUGCGGAUCGAAAGUACGCACCUGUACAAAUGCUGCGCCUGUCUCCUGACUCAAAAGGACGUCAACCGGCGACCUGAGGAAUGGUCCACCGGGUUUAGUGCUCAUCAACCCACAGCUAAUAACGCACUAAACCACACUACAACAAACCCUUGGGGCAUCGUUACCAAAACGCGAUCGCCGUACAUACGCGCGGAAAGCCGCGCGUAAAUCGCACGGGGAUCCGCCGGGACCCAGAAACUGUCCGCGGCACACACCGACUCAUACCGGAGUUACCCGCUCCUAAACACCAUUAUCAUGAUUUGCAGCAAACCAAGGAUACAAACCAAACAGCAAAUCGGCGCGAAGUAAUUGUUCGGAUUCGGUUCCGCGAAGUGUCAAAUUUCGACACCGGAACCCACGGCGUCGCCCACCGUCAUUUCCGAACGCGAAAUGACCCGCAAGUGACCACCAAAGGCUCAGCGACUAACAAAGCUCAAUAAAGCAGCCGUCGGAAUAACUUUCGAACCGAACCGCGUUCCGUCGACCGUUGUCGUCGAAAAACGCACCGGAGAAUGCCAUUUCCGAUCUUCGGCAAAGGGUCUAGGGCCUUGACAUCAAGUCCAGAGGUUAAACCUCAACCAACACUUGGCUGUCAACAGGAGGCUACAACGAACCAAAAUGCUAUAUAAAAGCCCUCCUGAUGACCCAAAAUCGCAAUUAUUUCUGCGAUUUCGUGGCUUUCAAUGUCCGACAAACGCAAACAGAGGUCCAAACAGCCAAAGACGAGAACUCCUGCUGACUGAUCUCGGUGUGGCCGGGGCCGUGCUCACCUUGUCGGAGGCACUGCGCGGCCAACUGUGGAGGACAGCAUGAGCGACGCAAAACAUAUGAAACAGCGCGCACAGGCGCUAAACUCGCGUCUAACACGCAACACGCCGGAGAUGCUCCUGACGUAAAUAACGUGGCCACGCAUGACCGCACUGAACAACGGAUCAUCGUGCUCACCUCCAGCAGCAUUCGGGGUGGCCUCGUUCACCCAAAGCCAGUGAUGCGGGAACCCAAGAGAACAAGGUGGUGGCAAGGAAGCGCAAAACAAACUUACCGGAGCAAGGUGGGUGCAACGGGGUGGCCGGCGCAGCCGGACCGGCGGGAUAUCGGCCAGAGGAGGGUGCUUGGCCAUGUGUGGGGAGUCCGACGACGCGCAUCGUCGACCAACUAGGGAACGGCGUGGAGGCGACAGCAUUGAUGGCCCUAGCCGCUAAAGUGUGGCUGCGGCGGCCGGUUGGCCGACCGGGCUUAGUCGGCGGCGCCUGGGCGCGCGCACGCAGGUGCAGGAAGAGGUAAGGAGCGCGCUAGGGGGCUAGGGCAAGGCUAGGGUUAGGUUAGGGGAGAAAAACCCUAAAGAGCUUAUAUAUAAAGGCGCAACUAGCAAAAAAGGUCCACCAAACACGCGAAUUUCAAAUCCGAGCCCCUCACGAAACGACUAAAAACGCAUGAACGACCCUCCACCGUGCGAUCUCACGCAAAACGGUACAUAAAAUGUCGCGACUUUCGCGAAAAAUACCAUUUGCCACCACCGACCUGCUCCUGAUCCAACGCAACGAUUCUCCGCAGAAUCCGUCCGUCAGAUUUGCGAACCAGAUUGCACCAGUGCGAAUCAGCACGAAUAGAGACAACAAUGCUACGAUUUCGUUUCGUCUUGGAUCGACCACGGAUUCACGACAAAAUCACCUCCUCGAAUAGAAGGACAACACACACAAAAUACAUAUUAAAACAUGUAUUUUUGGAUUUCUCGAAUCCGUGCUCAAACUCAAAAAUACGUCAGUGCCAUUAGUUUCGCAGAAUAGCUGAACGGUCGAGAACGAGCUACUUGGACGUAUGAACAGAGUCCGGUACAGAGCCAGAAGCCAACUUCUCACCGCGCGCUUCUCCGAAAAUCGAGUUAUCUAUUCACUUUAGUGAAACUUAAAACUUCCGCGUAAAUUCCGUUUUAACUCGUUUUCGCCCGAAACUUGACGAGGUGCUUUGUAAUUCAAAUUACACACAAAAACAUCGUCACUAAGAAGUUUAGGCUACACGCAAAAAUCUGAACAGUCUUACAUAUGUAUAAUAUAUAUAUGUAUUACUAUAUAUGAUAUGUAUAUGGUAUAUGUAUAGUACAUAUAUAUAUAUACAUACAUAGUAUAUACAUAUAUAUUACUAUAUAUACAAUAUAUAUAUAUAUAUAUUAUAUAUAUAUAUAAUUUAUAUAUACUUAUAUUAUAUGUAUAUUAUAUUAUAUUACUAUAUAUGCUAUAACCUAUAUAUUGUUAUAUGUAUAUAUAAUGUAUCCAUGUAUACUAUAUAUUGUAUAUUGUAUAUAUGUAUUAUGUAUUGUAUAUAAUGUAUUCGUAUAUAUUGUAUAAUGUAUAUAUUAUGGUAUAUGUAUAUGUAUAUAUGUAUAUGUAUAUAUAUAUAAUAUAUAUAUUUAAUUUAUAUGUAUAUAUGUUAUAUGUAUAUGCAUAUAUGUAUUGUAUAAUGUAUAUGUAUAUAUGUAUAUAUGUAUACUGUAAUAUAAUAUGUAUAUAUGUAAUAUGUUAUAUAUAUAUGUAUAUGUAUACUAUAUGAUAUAGUAUAUGUAUAUGUAUAUAUAUAUGUAUAUAUAUCUAUAUGUAUAUGUAUAUAUGGAUCGUAUAUUAUGUUAUAUAUAUAUGUAUAUUGUAUAAUGUAUAUAUAAUGUAUAUGUAUAUGUAUAUACGUAAUAUUGUCAUACUUAUAUAUGUUAUAUAUUAUAUUUAUUGUAUAUAUGUAUAUGUAUAUUGUAUAUAUGUAAUAUGUAAUAUAAUGUAUCUAUGUAUAUGUAUAUAAUAUGUAUAUUAUGUAUAUGAUAUAUAUAUGUAUAUGUAUAAUAACAUAUAAAUAUACAUAACAUAUAUACAUAUAUCUACAUAACCAUAUAUAACAUAUACAUAUAUACAUAUACAUAUAUAUAUACAUAUACAUAUACAAUAUAUACAUAUAUACAAAUAUACAUAUACAUAUAUACAUAUAUCAUAUACAUAUAUAUAUAUAUAUACUAUAGUUCAGCCUAUGGUCUUAUCAAAGCACACAAGCACUUCGUGUGUAAGUUUUUUACCGUUACCGAUCUAACUCCUCGGAUCCCAUUUUCAAACCAUUAUAAUUAUACUAUUCAACGCACCACCUCACUCAUCCUCUAGGGCCUACAUCAUCCUACCGCACUAUCUCUUUAAUCCAAUGCUAAAAAAUCUACACAAGCACCUAUAAACUUGGUAGCUUUCUAAAUAGCAUAGACUUCAAUUCUAUAUAUAUUAUAUAUAAUAUAUAUAUAUAUAUAUAAUACUAUAUAUAUAUAUUAUAUUAUAUUGUAUAGUGUAUACUAUGUAUAUGUAUAUAUGAUUAUGUUAUAUAUAUAUAUAUAUUUUUAUAUAUAAUUAGUAUAUUUAAUAUAUACUGUAUAUGUAUAUGUAUAUGUAUACAUAUAUAUACAUAUAUACAUACAUAUGUAUAUAUGUAUAUAUAUAGGCUAGGGCUACUAUACUCUUAUGAGUAUAGAGCACUUUGUACUCAUAAGUUUUCGACCAUUGGAUGAAAGGAUAUGCGGUUAGGAUGAUAAUGGUCCAAUCCAUUCGCAGAUCUAAUGGACAGAUCUCUUGAUAUCGCGUGAGGAUCAAGGAGGGUUCUUAUGUAGUGAAACGAAAAUUUUGCGAAAAGCCUACAUUUUAUAUAUCGAUUUGCGUGAAAUCGAGCAUAGGGGUACAUUAGCGCGUUUUACUCGUGCUGUGAAGGACUCAAAUUAAAAUAUUUGGAUUUGGGGGAUUUUUGCGCAAAAUGAAGCUUUGUAUUUAUAUUGGCCACCUAGGGUUUUCAUGAUCCAAAAACGCUAACCCUGGCCCAUUGUGUUCAACUGAGCUCCCAGCCGCCUCUCAUCCUUUACCCUCAUGCACCGCGCGCUGCCUGACCCCCGCUGACCUAGCUCUGGCCGGCCAACCACCUCCUCAGCCACUAUCUCCUUCUCUCCCUCUCACAUUGCCACCAACUCCUCUUUUUCUCUGCUCGAGUGCUUGGCAGGGUGAUCUCUCACCCUUGGGCUCUCCUCCGGCGACGCCCCGAACCUCCGGCGACCUCCCCCAGCUGGCCACAGCCACCCCCGAGCGCCACCGCCGAGAAUGCUAUAGCAUGCAGUCAGCUCAGGCUGGUGCGGCCGAGCCUUGCCACGCCGUCUUCUCGGCUGCCGACCGCCGACCGCCGUCUUCUCUGGAGCCGAAGGCCGUGCCCCUCCCCUGCUUACUCGGGCCAUCUCCGUGGCCGGAGAAGCGAGCUAAGCCCCUCUCGGCUUUACAGGAAGGUCAUGCCCCUCCCCUACUUACUCCGGUCAUCUCCGUGGCCGGAGAAGCGAGCUAAGCCCUAGGUGAGCCUGUGCGGGCUCAGUUUCUUCCCGUGCCGCCACCGCCGCCUCCUGCUGUCGGCCGACACGUCCGCCGGCACCCCUUGUCGGCCGCGCUCGGCUGCCGUCGGCACCUCCGUCGCCGGGGUCCCCUGUCGGCCGGAUCGAAGUGAACUCUCUUUUGACCCGUGCGGCUAGGUCAUCAUUGCCCGCAGCCACCGCCGCCUUCUGUCGCCGGCAGACGCGCGCCCCGACCUCCCCCUGCCGGCCGCACCCACCUGCCGCCGGCACCCCUAGCUCUCCCCUGGCCUGUAAGCUAAUUUACUGUUGUUUGUGCACUGUUUUGGGGUUGUUUGCACUGUUCCGGCGAUCCGAGGCUACCCCGAUGCCUCCGGAACUGAGCACGAUGAUCCUUGAUCAGUGCUGAUCAUCGUGCCCAUCUCCUUUGGGGUCAGCGAGCCCCUGGUUUGUGGAAUGAGCGUGAUUUAAGUUCAGUGCACGUAGUUCGUUGAAUUUCGGGUUGCCGCCGCACCCUCCACAGUGAGCCUGUAAGGACUGAACCUUUGCAAAUUGCGAGGUUCGAGUGUUUGAUCUGUGUGACGAGCCAUCUCAGACUUUCUGAAGGGUCGUAGACAGUGUGCCGACCCAUGGUUCGAGUCCCGAGAAUUGUGGUUUGAAGCGGUGUACCAAAAUCCAAAAAGUUGGAUUUUUGGUUAGCUCUCGGGUUGCCUUCAGCGGGCUGCGUACCGGUACGGGUUCGCUUGCUGUACCGGUACGUGAUCGAUGGCUGUACCGGUACGUGGUAGUGUACCGGUACACAGACCAUUUCCCAGCAAACCCGAGGCUCGGGUUUGGCUUUUCGUGGGUGGUGUACCGGUACACAAACCCGUGUACCGGUACACAGUGCAGAGNUUCGCUUGCUGUACCGGUACGGGGUUGAUGGCUGUACCGGUACGUGGUUGUGUACCGGUACACAGAGCAUUUCCCAGCGAACCCGAGGCUCGGGUUUGGCAGUUCGUGGGCAGUGUACCGGUACACAAACCCGUGUACCGGUACACAGUGCAGAGCGGGCUGUUUUCGUGGAGGGGUGUUUUUGCAAUUGUUGCAACACCUAUAUAUGACACCCCAGCCCCUUUGUGAGCUCCUUUGAGCCCUAGACCAGUGGAGAAAAGGUGAGAACUCCUCCCCUAUGGUUUCUUCUCCAUUUUUGUUAGGUUUUUGCUAGUUUUGAUCUCUUUUCUCUUCUCCUUCUUGCUUUUGUGGGUAUUUCACCAUUGGAGAAGAGUGAGAUCUUGGUUGGAGCUUGUUUGAGGAUCAACCUUCAACCCUAGAGGACUUUGGAGCUUGGUUUGGAGCUUUUAAGAGGUUUGUAGCUUUUUCUCUCCUCUAGAUUCGAAUUUUGUUGGAUGUUACUGGAUCAAACCCUAGAUUUUGAGUUUUAGGGCUAAAAAUGGGGAUUUUUGAUUUGUAGCUUCUAGAACCAAAUUGAUUGGUUUAGAACUUUGAUUUAGGUUGAAUUUGAAGGAAUCUAACUCCCUUUACGAGAUCGAGAGAGAUUCGUUAGCUUUCGGUGAGUUUUCUCCAACCUAGCUAGAAAAGCUUAAUGUUUGAGCUUAGCUUUGUUCGUGAGCUUUGUUUGACACAUGUUUCUAUACCUCUAGGAUACUAGGAGACUAGAGGACACCCUCGUUGGAGCGCACGAGGAGUUUCGUUGUCAUCGGUGGGUUUGGCUUCCUUGAAAUCGGAGGAAAUUCCUCCUAAGUGGUUAAAUGCUUUCAUUCUCUUCAAAUUCAUGCAUAUUCAUGUUUAGUAGCAUUUAUGGGAAUUUUGAAUGCUUAGAACUCAUAUGUUAUGCAUCAAGGAAGUUACUCUAUAUAGUAGAGAGACAAAUGUGCUUUGUUAAUAUGCAUGCGACGAAUACUCUAUGAGAUGAUAGGAAAUAAGGCUUCAUGCUUCGAUUUUGACUAGAAAUUAUAAGUUCUUGAACUUAUUAUCCAUGUUGGGACAAAAUGAGCCAUAGUGUCAUAAAGAGGCACUUGGACUAGAGAAUUAUUAAACUGCAACAUAGAGACUUGAUAAUGGGCCACAUUGACAUCAACUAUAUUCCAUAUUUGAGAUAUGAUAAAAUAGUGACUCAGCCACGAGGACAUUGCUAUAUACCAUGUUACUGAACAUGAGAAUUUGGUACUUGCGACUGAUCGUUUGAUUACUUGCCAUUGUGCUGAUUCGCACAUGCUUGUGAGGGUCGCUCCCUACAAGCCGGCACUCCGGAGAUGGCCAUCGCGAUACAUAUUCGCCGUGCGGGAUUGGGCGCCGAAGUGGAUUGCCGUGGGACAGGCUCAUUCCCAGGGUGGGGAUGAUGACUACCACGGGGCCAUCAGGCUCGGCACCGGCCAGACAGCCUACGGGUGGGUCUCAGGGCCAUAGACAGCCUUCGGGUGGGUCUCUUCAGAUUCGACUUGAGUAUUCAUCAUGACAUGUGGACAGAUGAUGACUUAGAGUAUUAUUUGGACAUUGACUAGAAUAGUAAACAUCGGAACUUUACUAUUUCGCAUUGUGAACAUUAUGAUAGUUGGAGACUUAUACUUCAUGCAUAGUUGCUUUCGUACUCAUGCUAUUUAUGCUAAGUGGAGACCUUAUGCUAUAGUAAGUUAUAUUUUACUUACCGUCUAAUUAUUACAUUGUUAGUCACUGACCUCUUCUUGUAGCUUUUGGGCCUUGUGGCGCAGUUCACUGAAGUCAGUAAUUGCCCACUGGGAACUAUUUUUAAUAGUUCUCAUGCCCGUUGUUUCUAAUGUUUUCUUUUCAGAGCUUCAGGCACCGCGGAGGCCACGGAUCGCGGCGCAAGGGUGUCGCGUAGCUAGCCCGGGAGAGUUCUUUUGCGCUAGGUGGUUGCUUCUUCUCCAUUUUUAUAUUUUGAGAGAGAGAGGGCUUUGUAUCCAUGUAUAGAGACCACCUGUGUACCCACUUAUAGCACUUGUAUUUGGGAUCCCUAUUGUACUACUUUAUGUCUUAUUUAGUAGAUUUACAGUUUUAUCCUUAUUCCUUGUUGUAGCAUUUAGACAUUUAUUAUGCUCUGAUACUCCUAGAUGUCUCUUAUUACUGCUUUUAUUAUUGUUAUUUUUAGACGCCUUAUAUGUUGUAGACAUAUGGCGGGUCUGGGCACGCGCCGGGCGGGCUUUCGCUGGGUCCCGGGGCGUGACACAUUUGAAACUAGUGAAAUAGAACACUACGGCAUUUGAAUAUAGGGAUAGUUGAGUUUCCGAGUAAUUGUUAAUCCUAGUUGAUAGGGUAUCCUUAGUUGGCGAGAAUUGGAUCAUACUCACAUAGUCUGUUAUGCGCUUGGUAGUUGUCGCCCCACCCAAGCAGUGCGCUCCGGAGUUGUCACGCAAGGGGUAGACGUAGUUGUCCCACAGGCGAUCUCGGGUGGGAUAAGAGCGGGGUAGCUCCUCACCUAUGAGAUUUGAGAUGUGAGUCGCGGCAAACCUUUGGGUUAACCAAGUGAUUGGGUUAUAACAUGGAUGACAUUACUUCUUGAACAUAAUAGCAUGAUAGCUGAUUUCAUUACUAUGUAGUUCAUGCAUUCAUUACAGUUGAUUGAGGCAUAGUAGUGUAUAUUUGUAGAAUUCAUUACUAUGUCAUAGUUGUUUUCAUAUCUAUCUAUCUAUCUGCUUAUGCCUGUUUAGACCUAGUGGGAAAAUCGGCGGAGUUAGCGGCUGAACCCACUGGAAACUAUUCGUAGUUCUCAUCCCACUUUGUUGCAGGGCCAAGUUCGAGCGCUCCGGGUGAGGAUCGUGGUAAGAGCAUAGCGACCUAGUAGCUAGUAGCUUUCCAUUUGCAUUAGAGUACCCUCGAGUACAUAGUGAUAUUGAUGUAUAUGUUGGUGAGGAUUUUGGAGAGUUACUUAUGUAUUUAGAUGAUGAACUUGUAAACCAUGUGUAUAUAUUUUGGGAGAUGUAAAUGUAAACCUGUUGCUAAAUGGUCGAAUGGUUGUAAUAGUUAGAACUCUCUCUCUUUUGCUCUCUUGUGUGCUUGUAUGUAUACUCUCAUUGUUCAUGUAUGUUGUUUAAGUUUACCUGGGCAACUUGAUGUACAUGACUUGUUGUUUAGCCUUGGGCGGGCAGGGGAGGUAAUGUCCGUUCGGCGUCUGUUUGACGUGCCCCAACCGGCCAAAUUGGCGAUCGUGGGGCGUGACAGCAUGUGUCUCAGCUGACCUCGAAAGCCCUCGGUUUGCAAUAUCGAGCUGAAAAACCCCGUAAAUCACAUGAAAUAAUGUGAUUUUAUGUAUUUGUAGGGGUUUUAUGCAAUUGGGCACUUUGUGGCUGCUGUGGGCAGUAUGUGUAGGUGGCCGGUGAUCUCUGGACUGAUUGUCCAAAAUCCGAGGCCUUUACGAAAAUCGAAUAUCGAUUUCCGGUGCGUAUUUCGGCGAAAUUCACCGACGGAACACGGUUUCGGUCCAGAUUCCUCCCGACGAUGUUCGAGUGUACUAUAUACUUUGUCGUUGAGCCUGGUUGGCUGGUCACUUAUGUUGUUUCGAAAGCCUGGAGACGACGGGUGAGCGACAGUGGGUUCCGGUGUCGAAAUUGACACUUUCGGGAAUCCGGAUCGAAACAGUUAUCUGACGAUAAUCGUUCCGGUUUGAGACUUGAUGUUUGCUGCCAGGACACCUUUAAUAUUGUGUUUUGUGGCAGCGGGUGACUCGUGGCACUAGUCGGUGAGUGCUGGGACACUUCGUGGGUCCCAGCAGAGUUCAGGUGCGAUUUUCGAAACUUUCGACGGAUUACGGUAAUCGAUUUUGGAAAACCGAUUCCCGUGGGAUUAUUUGUGGGGUUAUGGGUUUAGUGUUCCUUAUAUUUGGGUUAGAUACUAACUCGGUGGACCCUUCGUAGGUUCGGUUGAUAAUCUUCCACAAUAGGAGAUAGGCACGAUAUUCAUACAGAUGGAUACUUCGAUGCGAAGUCGGUGUAGUGGAACAACAACGAAACCUCUACCGAGUGCGUGUAUCAUCUUUUUAUCACAGAAAAUGUCACGCCCCGCGACCCGCCAAUUUGGCCAGAUCCGGGCACGUCGAUCAGACGCCGAACGGACAGCACCUCCCUGUCCGCCCAAGGCUCAACGACAAUAUCAUGUAUCAGAAUUUGCCCAGGAGAAAUUCAUUCAACAUACAUGAUACGACGAAGCACCACUAGUGCUAUACAAUUAAGAGCAAGAAUCACAAGUAACAUACAAGUGAAAUAAAGAGAGAUACAUCUAGCUAUUACAUUCAUUCAACCUCAUUUUUCAUAUUGAUUUACAUUUUCAUCUUCCCAAAUGAAUACAUAUUCUUCUCAUAAAACAAAAUGGCUCUCCAAUAUCUAUCCAAAAUAUACAUGGUAUCUAGUACACGAAGGUAGUCUAAUUUAUAAUGGAAAGCUACUAACUAACUCACUUAAGGCGCUAUGCCCUUACCGCGAUCCUCACUCAGUUAGCCCCUAUGUGUACCUGUACCCCAAAACCACAUGGGGUGAGAACUAUAUAAAUAUAGUUUCCAGUGGUUUUGGCCGCCGACGCCGCCGGUUUUCCCACUAGGUCUAAGCUGGCACAGAUAGAUAGAUAGAAAGGUAGAUAGAAAUACAUUGCUACUAUAUCUACUAUGCCAUCAAAUGCAAAGAAUGCAUGGAACAUCAUCUAGCAAUAAUCUACUAUUUUGCUAGUAUGCUUCAACAGUGUAAUGAAUACAACUACAACAUAGUUAUGCAGUCUACUAUAUCUAAUCAUGGUAUGAAUGCAAUCCACUUAUGCUAUUCAUGUUACGACCUAAUCGACUAGGCCAACUUGCCUAAAAUCUCAAAUCUCAAAGGUCCUAGGCAAAGAGCUACCCCGCCCCUUGCCCGACUCAAUCUCGAAGGUCCUAGGCAAAGAGCUACCCCGCUCCUCGCCCGACUCAAUCUCGCUCUACUAGGUACGAGCUGCCCGCUCAAAUCUCAUAAGUGAAGUAAUAGUAUGUCUCAACAAUAAAAAAAUGAGCUACUACAUAGUGAUGUCUCUACACAUGCUACUAUGUCUCAACAAUAAAGAAAUGAGCUACUACAUAGUGAUGUCUCUACACAUGCUACUAUGUCUCAACAAUCCGAAUGAACGAGCUACUACAUAGUGCGUCGUGCAAUUAUACCUCGAUAGUAUCCAAUCUCAUAGCCAACUCGAAGGUUGCCACCCCGGGGUCAACCCCGACUUACUCUCAAUCUCAUAGGUGAGGAGAAUUUGUACUCGCACACCGAGACCAUCUGCGGGACAACUACGUCUGCCCCUAGUGAAGUACUCCGGAGACUCGUGCCUCGGUGGAGCGACCACCGACAAGCAAAACAGACUAGUGAGUAUGAUCCAAUCCUCACAAGAGGAUACCCUAUCUACCAGGGUAAAUGUGCCUCUGCUGCACAAUACCAAAUGCAUAAUCAAUGCCUCAAAAGCACUAAUGCCAAAUGCAUAAUGUCUACAACAUGACAAUCGGAAAAAUCUACUAUCCCUAGGUUCAAAUGCCAUAGUGUUCCACUACACUAGGUUUGAUGCCACUCGUUUAUGUCAUGAUGUUAUAUGCGUUUUAAUACACUAAAUCGACAUGCCACUCGUCAAUAUUAUAGUGUCUUUAUUACACUAGUCCAAAUGCCACUCGUCUAGGCCAAUUACAUGUCCAAGUUCAUCAUCAUUCUUGUCACUAUAGGAUUCUUGUCACAAGACCCAAUCCUCAUGCAACCUAAGAUCAAGUGUCAAGCCCACAAUGCUACACAACCUAGGUAACAUGCAAGGAAUGGAAAUGUAAUCAUCUACUAAUCCUAUAAUGCACAAUAUAUCAACAUAUAGGAAUAUGAUCAAAAUAUAGAACUUAGACAUAAAAGGAAGCUCAGUUGCUUCGGGAUGGACACCCUCCUACCUUUCAAUGCUACCAAGAGGCUAGGGUUCCGAUUUCGUGAUUUUUGGAAGCUUUCGCCGCAAGCUGCGGCAAUCUGUACCUUAACGGCUUCGUUCUUUAAUAUCUUCGCGUACGCUAGUCGUAUCGCCGAACCGACUUCACCAACGCGUCAGAAAACCUAGCAAUUAGGUCUAUACAUGAUCAAUUUAGAUCAAACCCUCGCACAUUACAAAAUCUCAUUUUUGAGCCCUAACAUGCAAUUACCCCCAAAUAAUCCAAAUUAAACGGAGCAACAUGCUAAGAAUGCUCAUUAGAGGCUACUAGAACACUUAAGGUUAAGGAUUAAGCCAAAUCCCAAAAUUUUACCAAAAUGUGAACGCCGAGACGGAAGCACGCCACUCCAACGGGCGCAUGAAAACUCGAUCCGUUGCUCCCAACGCAUUCGCAAGCUCGUUCUCCGCCAACGCCGCGAAUUCGGGCGAAAGAUCUAGAGAGAUGAGAGAGUUAUUUAGAGAGAGAAAGUGAGGAUUUCUCUCACUACCACCAUGAACGUGUGGUGUUGUGGGGGUGGUGGUGGUUGUGAAGAAGAAGACUAGAAGCUUCUACUUAUAGCCCACACCCCAAUAGUAGCAUACACUAUUUACUUCAGGCAGUUCGAAAUCUGAUAUCUUUCGUCGGAGCUCUCUGAAUAUCCGUUUGAGCUCAAAUUUGAUAGUCAUGUUCGGUUUUGCUUAACUUAACGAAAGAAAUUUUAAUCUUUCAGUUUCGACCCCGUUUGGUCACCGAAAGCUGUACCGAACUGUAAUCUUUAUCAGACAAUUGUCGGAUUUUAUUUUCCACCUUCCGGGUGUCAGAAUGAUAUAAAACUUUAAAUCUAGUCUAAUAAAAAUAAUUCUGACUUAUCCUCCAGUUUUCAUAAUUUUUUGACACUCUGCAUUUUCUACUAAUUUAUCUGUCUCGUUUCACACAGAAAAUUUUAAAUAUUCUGUUUUCGCUCCGAUUUCAGUACAAGUCAUUUCUAACCUAUAUUUCACUUCUCUAAAUUCAAUAAAAAUAGUAUCUCAUACUAUUUUUAUUUAUUUUCACUUUUAUAUUUAAAAUCCGGUAUGUUACAUUCCACCGCAACCUCACCGGAACCAUUUAAAUGUACACCGUAAUUUCAUAAUUUUAAAAGUCCGGUACCCUACAGAAAAUUUGCUACAAUUUGAACUACUUGGUGUAAAUUGCAAUGGAGUAGCAAUAAAUAUUUUUCUUAUAUUUUCUACUGAAAGUUCUUAGAAUGUAAUUAAAAUAAAAUAAAAAAAUUAAUCAUUGUUUAAUAAUCAGUUAGUUCUUUGACCACUUCACUUUAUGAAUAUCUAGAUUAUCUAAACUUUUUGAAAUCCAAACAAUCUUUUGUCAUUACUCAAAAGAAAAAAAAAUUGUUUGCUGGCGAGCCAUUUGCUCUCCGGAUCGGCAAUGAUCGUUUAGAUGGGGAGGGCCCCACCAUACAUAAAAGGUGGGCCCCUCUCAUGGUGCGGUGCUCGCAGUUUCGGCGAGCCAAUUUUGGCGAGCAUAGUAUUGCGCUACUCGAAACGGGGAAAAGUAAAAAUCCAGAAAAUUGAACUCCUUGCAAUGAAAUGAAAUUAUUGGAGUAAAAUUCAAAGUCCUGCAAUUAAGAUAAAUAACGCCCAUGUCAUGGUCCAAAAGAUGACAAAAGCAAUGAGCUAUCAUAAUAAUGAAGAUCAAGAAAAUAAAAAAGUUAAGAAACGAAACGUAACUGUUCAUUUAAAUUUCUCAUAUACUAACCACACUAGUACAAUUUUUUUUUCUUUAAACCUUUAUAUUCCCUUCUUGAAACUUAGGGAUUGUUGGUUUUGCUGUAGCUAUAAAUAAAUAUAGUAAAAUUAGAAAAGCAUGCCGUUAGAGAUACAACAAACAUAUCCUUUCGACAGUAUGUAAUUGAGAGUGAUUUAACUAGAAAAUUUGCUUGAGUGUUCGAAGUUAAAAUUGCAUUCUGUGUCGAGGGUACCUCUAGAAAAAUAAAAAUGUAUCAUUUUUUAUUUAAGAGGUGAAUGUGUAAAUAAAGUUACUCGUUUAGAAGUACUCUUUUCCAUUACUUCUUCUCUAACUACGUAUGAUUUGUGAGCAAUUCGAGAUGUUAUAGUUGAGCCUCCAUCAGUAGGUCCAACUCAGCAUGUUGAUGUAAUUAUACAAUAAACUAAACAAGAUUUUGUAGUCUUAACGUAAUGAUACUUGCAAUGCAACGUGAAAUGCAAGUAACCGAACAAUACGAGCAACCAAACAACCUCUGUAGAGAAAUCAAAGUCACGACUAUUGUAUCCGGAAAUAAUACUGCUGUGCAUUUUCCAAACAUUGUAGUGGUAUGAUAUAUGGCUCGCCUCAUUGGAAGAGUUUUGUGCACAAGGUUGCAGAAAAAUCAGAUCCUUCAAUAUUUUGGAAUUUCAAGGAUUUCGAUUGAUUUAUGAGUUUGUGCACGCAGAGAAAGAGAGCCUCAAUAUACUUUCCAAUAUUGUAUGAGCAAUCGCGUUCCCCCAUCUCUUUCUUUUUUCUUUUUUUUUUUUUUUUUUUUUACCCCCCAAAAGGCAAGCACAUAACCCCUUUUACAAUCCUACCAAUGAUUUUUUUCACUAAGGACUGGGAGUCAUAAUAACAUCCCACCCCUCGCAUAGAUGCCGUAUCAUUGUGGGUAAGGGUGAGGAUGGUUUGAAUUUUAUUUGAUCGAAUCCUAAAUCGUACUUGAUCGGAGCCGGAUUCGAAUGUCAAAUUAGCUAUUCGAUUGGAUUUGGACUUGAAUUCAGUAAUAAUAAUAAACUUUUCUUUGGAUUCGAUUUUGAAUUCGAAUCCAGAUUUUGUUAUCCUUCAUAUGCGAUGCGUUUCGGCUAUAGAUACGGAAGCGGAUUUGAAUAUUAGUGUUCAAAUCUGUUUUCAACAUGUAGGCUGAGCACUGGGAAAAAGAAGAGUGAAUAUACAUAGUGCAAAGGCAUUUCAAAACUUGGCGUUUGGUCUUUAAAAUAAAAAAGUAAACCAAUCAGGGAUUCAGGAGAGCUCCUUAAGUGUAGAGUUUCUUUUUUUUUUUAUAUAUAUAUAUAUAUAAAAAUUUUUAACAUUUCAAUUUUUUUUUUUGAGAAAUAGGUAGCAAGCAACCUACUUCAUUCAUUAAGUAACAUGAAUUUAGCGUACAUAAUGGAAGCAGCUAGGGCCUCCGGACCGAGCCGGCGACAAAAGAAAAACAAAAGCAAAACAAAACAGGAACACUAAGUAGACAUAGAGAGACAGACAAAACGUUACACAGAAAACAUAGAGAACAUAGAGAUUGCAGGAGGGUUCAAAGUGCUUCGUUCCAGGCUCUGAUCAAAGAAGCGACACGUUCGGUAGCCCAGGAAGCGUUAUGAGCCGCGUCGCUAAAGCACAUGCUAUUUCGUUCCGUCCAGACGACCCACCAAAUUGCCACCAAGUGGGUUAAACUUUUCGAUCUUAUUUCGGUCACGCGAUUCUCGGAGAUCUGUAUCCAAAAUCUCCGAACAUCCCCCGCGUCCGAAUCAGCUAGCACAAGGGGUCCAACUUUAUAUCGGAGGUAUCUGACAAAGAUACAGUCAUGGAACAGGUGAUAGCAGGUUUCGGGUAGUAACGCGCAGAACUUGCAAUGCUGGUCCACCGGGAACCCUCGGCGAAUCAAUCUGUCCGCUGUGAGUAAUCUCUUUCGAAGUAGAAUCCAAACAAAAACUUUAUGCUUAAGUUGGAUUUUUAACCCCCAAAGAUGAUCGUACAAAGAAUCUAUCUGUCCUCCAUCAGAGAUAAAAUCGUAAAGGGACUUAACGGUAAAAUUUUGGUUCGCGGUCCAUCGCCAUUUAGGUAUGUCCUGCGUGAUCGAUGGUCUAUAUUGAGCGAGCAGGCUUUUAAGCGUCGUAGUCUGUUGGCGGAACAAAGAAGUGGUGCUAGUCGCCAGGCCUGUGGUUAUGAAGCGCCAUCUCCACUGUCACGCCCCGAGCUCCGCCAAUUUGGUCGGAUUCGGCCACGUCGACAGACCGCCGAACGAACAGAGCUUUCCCUGUACGUUCUAGGCGUCACAAUCUAAACAAUGCAACAGAAGAGGUCCCAACCAGGAACAGUAGCAAGUAUGUAGAUUGCAUAAGUAUCAAAAACAUAAAAGGCUAACUAUGCAAUUAAUAGCAUUCAUCUCACAAUUUUACAUUUAGAAAAUUUCAUAAGUCUUUAAAUUAUUACAUAAGCCCNGGUCCCAACCAGGAACAGUAGCAAGUAUGUAGAUUGCAUAAGUAUCAAAAACAUAAAAGGCUAACUAUGCAAUUAAUAGCAUUCAUCUCACAAUUUUACAUUUAGAAAAUUUCAUAAGUCUUUAAAUUAUUACAUAAGCCCUUAUACAGUUUACAACUUACACAAUUUAUUACAAAUUUGAUACAAGUUUGUUUCUUUCAUUCUGAACUCCGAGCUAGACUGCUUCAAGGGUACUGCUAUCUCUGGUCUCAGUGGUAGGGCGCUAUCUACGAAGCUACGCCCUGUCCUCGCGCCGCCGCGCCGUUCACGUGCAAACCUGUACCCCCAAAAACCACACGGGGGUGAGAACUAUAUAAAUAUAGUUUCUAGUGGCUACGGCCACCCAAGGGAAGAGCUCGACCCACCAGGUCCAAAAGAGGCAACUGCAGGUUAGUAAACUGAACAGAUAGAUAGAUAUUCGAUGAUACAAUUAGUAAAACCAUACCUUGCCUCACGAUAUGCAAUAUGUAAAUCAUGCAACUAUGUAACAAGUAGAUCGACUGAUCCUACUUUAUAUCUUUAACCAUUCUUUACUUGUAGCCGUUCUUUAUUAGCUAUUUACGUUCAUUAGCUAUUCUUUAUUUCUUAUUCUUUAUUCUUUAUCAUAUUGUGGUCACUGGCGAUUCUUUCCUAAGGUUACUUUACCUUAGUCAUCUAGCCAUCCGACUCGGUCUUGAGUCAAUCAAUCGCGGAUAGUCCGCGCACUAUCUAGCUCGAGGUGAAGGAACUCUCACAUGCACCUCAGCUGGCGACAGCUCACCGUACUCCUGUCCUAACCGUCUAGCGGUGAACGGAUCGCACCUCACCCAACAACUGCCUAGGUGUAUGACUUAGCCACCUGGCGGCGAAAUCGUCGCACACGCCAUGACUGUGGUUCAGUCAACAGGCGGCAGGAUCCACAAACUGGCUUAACUAUCUGGCGGCGAAAUCGUCGCACACGCCGAACAAUGGCUCAAGCCCCUGGGCGGCGAAAUCGUCGCACACACCUAAUGCUCCCUUGGUAUCAACCUCGGCGGCGAAAUCGUCGCACACGCCCUAGCCUUGACACCAAGGUUAUCACAGAUCUUGGGAUUCCGGAAUCCAUUUCCACAACUUAAGGGUUUACUCUUUUACCCUAUUUCGACGACCAUUCUAGGUCUAAAUCAAUCAUCUUUAUGUGGUCUCUCUACCACUAUACCCCAUAACUUAGUCCAACUGUACUAAGUGUUACAAUAUGUCACGACCUAGGUAUCCAAUCACACUAGGUUCUAUGUCAUUUCACCUAGAUCUCAACUCUAGGUUUACUUACUUGACCUAUGUCCAAUGACACUAGGUUCAUGUUCGACCUAUGUUUAUACAUUAGGUUCAUGCCACUCGAUCUAUUUAUUAUCCUAGUUAUCCACGCCUAGGAUUAUAAUUUGCACAUUUACAUUUACCUUGUCACCGUCAAGAUUUCUACUCAACUGGAGUUGUUGAUUUAUACCCAAUUCUUAGGGAUUUAACAUAAGGUUCACAGUUUACAUAUUCUCAUUUAUCUUGUUACCAUCGAGGUUUCUAAUCAACUAGAAUUAUCGACAUUCAUAUAGCUUGAACUAUAGUACAUUCACUUUCAUAUAUGUUUAGACAUAGGCAUCAAACGUUCAUAUUCAACUUACAUGACUUUAGUCUAUGUAUCAACAUUCACAUAUCAUUUAUCAUUCAUACGUUCAUGUAUGUUUAGUCAUAUGCAUCUAGCAUUCAUGUUUAUAUAGGCUUAGUCAUAUGCAUCUAGCAUUCAGGUUUAUAUAGGCUUAGUCAUAUGCAUCUAGCAUUCAUAUCCAUAUGCAUCUAGCAUUCACAUUUCUAGGAUAACCAUUAUAGAUCAUCAUAUAUCAACAAUCAUAUAUGCCUACUCAUAUGCAUCUAGCAUUCAUGUUCAUAUAUCGACAAUCAUAUUCAUUUAUGCGUCAAAUGAAAGCAUGUUUUACUUUGGCAUGGAAGUGACCUAAUCACUUUGGUAAAGCACAACCCACCUUUACUUGAUACCGGAAUGCGAGAAAUUCGCUUCUCGCACUUUCCCGAGAACCACGACCUGCUCUUGCGACAAUUGAUGCCGAAAACGUCUUUUUGGCGCUAUCUUUGCGUAGGCUCGACGGAUUGCCGAACCGACUUCGCCAACGAGUUUCUUUUACCCUCAAUUAGGUUUGUACGCGGUCAAUUUCACGUUAGGACCUUUAUCCUGCAAAAGUGCAUUGUCGGGGUCAAAAUAAAACUAUCGAGCAAUUCAACUUUUAUUUCAUUCCAUCUCUCUUUCUUUUCUUUCUUUUCUUUCUUCUCUUUCUUUUCAUUCUUUUCUUUCUUCUCUUUCUUUUCCUUCCUUCUUUCUUUCUUCCUUUCUUUCCUUUCUUUCUUUUCUUUUCUCUGCAGCCCUGCAGCUGAGCUGCUGCUGCGGCUGCUGACUGGCUGCUGCUGCUGCUGACAGCAGCUAGGCUGAGCUGCUGCUGCUGAAGCUGCUGCUGCGCAAGCUGCUGCUCCUGCUGAGCUGCUACUGCUGCUGCGCAAGCUGCUGCUGCUGAAGCUGCUGCUGCUGACUGCUGCUGCUCCUGCUGAGCUGCUACUGCUGAUUGCUAAUGCCACUGCUGCUACAACCAGUAGCAGAGGGAAAAAUGGAAAGGGAGAAGGAAAGGAGAAGAGAAAAACAAUGAAAUUACCUCUUUUCUUCUUCUCUUUUCUCUUCUUCUUCUUCUCUUCUCUUUCUCUCUCUCUACGUAUAGGAGUGAAGAGGGGGGGGAUAAGGAUGGAGGGCUCCCUGGCAGGGGGUUAGUGGAAAUCCACUAAGCCAUAUGAAAAUUACCAUUUUGCCCCUCGACUUAUCCGUUUAGCGACACAGAUCAAAUACCUUUCGCAGGCCCUUCCGAAAGUCCGAUUGAGCUCAAAUUUGACAGGAAUGCUCGUUUUUACUUAACAAGUCCACUGAAAUUUUAACAUUUCAGUUUUGACCCCGUUUGGUCACUGCGAACUGUCCCGAACUAUAAUCUUCAUCAGAUAACUUUCGGAUGCUAUUUCUCUCUCUACAGGUGUCAGAAUAAUAUGAAACUUCAAAGCUAGCCUCAUAAAACCAUUUCUGACAUCUCCGCAAAGUUUCAUAAUUUUCUGACACUGUGCAUUUUCUACUAAUUUCUCAGUCCCGUCCUUUACAGAAAAUUCUAAAUAUUUUAUUUUCGCUCCGAUUUCAACACAAGUCAUUCCAGACUUACAUUUUACACCCUUAAGUCGAAUCAAAUGGUAUCCCACACCAUUUAUAUUACUUUGCUCACUUUAAUUCUUUUAAUCAAAGUUAGCGUCGGAAAUCCGCAAAUUUUCUUUACUUUUUAUUUCGCGCCCAAUUUGCGUCGAAACACUUAUUUAUCAUCAGAAUUCAUUCUCACACGUCCAAAAUCACUAGGGGAAGAUAUUCAACUAGCUCGAGCUUCACUUUGAUCCCCUAGAUCAAAGUUAGCAUCGCAACUCAAGGUUUCCAUAUAUUACAUCCAUCCUCUUUCAUUCCAGCAUUGUGAGACAGUGGCUUCCUGAUUUGCGGUUCUGCAGCAGAAUAUUCUAGGAAAUCGGGUACUAAGUGGGGUUUCUUCAAUCCAAAUGUCCGACCACCACCUGAUAUUUUUUCCGUCACCAAGUACAUAAGAAAGCCCACAUUUGAACACUUUCUGACAGCUCAUCACACUUCUCCACCACUGGGAGUGCGGUCUGAAGGAUCUUCCCUCAUGUAACGGCUUUCUUCUAGUGUAAUAAAGUGCGGUGAUCAACCUACCCCAUAACAGGUGCCUCUCAUUGAAGAAACGCCACCACCAUUUAGCUAAAAGAGCCAUAUUCAUAGCUUCCAUAUCCUUGAUCUCCAGACCCCCUUCUUUCAUGCUUUUACAUAUCGUUUUCCACCCAACGAGACAAGAACCCCCAGAAAUUUUAGAGCACCCUUUCCAAAAGAAAGAUCUUCUAAGAGCUUCAAUGCGAUUCCGUACCCAAUGUGGCACUUUGAAAAUUGCAAAGUGGAAUAACGGAAGAUUCGACAGUACCGAGUUUACCAGGAUGAGUCUCCCCCCAUAAGAGAGGAGUUUUGCUUUCCAUCCAUCAAUACGCGUCUUGAUGUGGUUGACGAUCGGAGUCCAAUCGUCCUUUCAAAGGGAUUUGGUAUGAAGCGGCAACCCCAAGUAGCGACACGGUAGUUUACCUACUCUACACCCCAAUAUAUCUGCGAGUUGUUUAGCUCUGAAUGCGGUGGUUCCCACAUGGAAAUGUUCCGUCUUGUUCAAAUUAAUCUUGAGGCCAGAGGCCCAUGCAAACAUCUUCCAGAUAAACCGUAAGUUACGCAUCGCGGGCUUUUUGGGCUCCGAGAAGAAAAGCGUGUCAUCCGCGUAUUGCAGAAUCACUGUCUGACACUCGGCCGUCGGUCCAAUUCCCUAAAGCAAGUUAUUACCCCUUACUGCUGCGGUGAUCCUAGCCAAACAGUCGGCCACUAAUAUGAAUAGAUAGGGGGAAAGUGGGUCCCCCUGUCUUAGCCCCCUCCUUGUUUUCAUCCACUUUGUCGGCAAGCCGUUCACUAAAAUGGCGAUUUUGGCGUUACAGAUACAUUGUUCAAUCCAGUCCCGCCAUUUGUCACUGAACCCAAGCCACCGUAAAAUACUUUGCAAGAACUUCUAGCUAACUUUGCCGUAGGCCUUCUCAAAAUCCACCUUAACACUGACGCACUCCUUGUUAGUUCUAGCACACCAGUUGAGUAGUUCAGCUGCAGUGACAAAAGAGUCCGCUAGUAGUCGGUCUUUCAGGAAAGCCGAUUGAGAUGAAGAGAUAAUUGAUGGUAACACCGCCGCAAGUCUGUUCGCGAGCACUUUCGAGAUAAUCUUUUGAAUACCGUUUAGGAGGGAAAUUGGUCGAAAAUCGUUAACCUGGCAUGCACCUUCCUUUUUGGGGGUUAAACAUACAUAAGAGUAGUCUGCUGGUGCCGUGCAAAGGUCGGAAUUCUGAAGGUCUAAGAAAAUAUCAAAUAUGUUAUCCUUAACCGUCUCCCAGAAAUAUUGGAAAAAGAUCAGGGGGAAGCCGUCGGGACCUGGUGCCUUGUCACUACCUAGUUGAAAGAUAGCCUUUUUAACUUCAUCCAAGUUAAAGGGUGCCGAGAUGAGAUCCGAUAAGGCGUCCGCUUGAUACAAGUCGGCCCAAUCACCAAAAGAGGAAGGCACAUCUUCGGCCCACCCGAAUAGACGUUUGAAGGAGUGAAAGAAACAUGAUUUCAUUUGAGCUUCGUUUCUAAUUAGUCUGCCAGACUCAUCUUCAAUAAACUGUAUCUCAUUGCUUCGCUUCCGACCAUUGGCAACUGCAUGAAAGAAAUUUGUGUUAUUGUCCCCUUCCUUUAGCCAGUGUUGUUUCGCUCUCGUUUUCCGGAGGAUUUCUUCCUCCUGCAGGAUAAGUUGAAGUUGUGCUUUAAGGUCUACCCGUUUCUCCCGUACAUCCUGUGGCAGUAUGUUUCGUUCCUCUAACAUAUCGAUGUUUCUAAUUUCCUCUUUAAAACACCUCAACGCAUUGGCUAUACUGUGAAAUUUCGUCUUACACCAUUCCUUUAUUCUAAUCCUGCAGUGUCUCAAUUUUGCCAUUAAAGUAAGUAUAGCAGACCUCCCUCCAGAUACUUCAUUCCACCAGAUAGGUACGUUUUGUGAGAAGUCCUCCCUGGUAAGCCAUACUUUCUCAAACCGAAAUCGCCGCGGAGUGGGAUUGGUUCCAGAGGCCAGAAUUAGCGGGGUGUGAUCGGAAGUAAUUCUAGAUAGCGCGGAUACCCUACAGUGCGGGAAGGCUUGAUCCCACUCCGUCGAAACGAGAAAUCUGUCCAGCUUGACUAGGGUUGGUGAACGUUGCAUAUUAGACCAAGUAAAAUUUUGGUUGGAAAUGGGCAGGUCAAUGGCUUCAAGUUUAGAGAUGAGGUCAGAGAACAUAAACAUCGCUUCUGUACUCCACCGAUUUCCGGAGCAUUCUGCCUGGUUUCUAGUGAAGUUGAAAUCCCCGCAUAUCGCCCACUUACUGUUGGAGCAAAUCGCGCCAAGAGCGAGGAGUUCAAAACAGAACUCUUCUUUCCCAUCCCAUGUUGGCGGACCAUAUACAUUUGACAGAUAAAAACUCGUUCCACCGGUGACAUGUUUCAAGUUGAGGGUGAGCGAGUGAUCGCACACCAAAACUUCCGUACACUCGAAAAAUUUUGAGUUCCAACAUGUAAUUAAACCGCCAGAGGCUCCAACAACCGGAAUAAAUUGGCACUUGCCGAAACUCGAACCACAGCAAGAGCGAAGAAAGGAACGAGACGCAGAAUCCACUUUAGAUUCUUGGAUACAGACUACCGAACAAAAGAGUUUAGAGACAGUAGACCUGACACAACGACGCUUACAAGGGUCGUUUAGACCGCGAACAUUCCAAGUAAUAAUAUUAAACAUAGGAAAAGUGACACACACCCAAAAGUCGGCCCAAACACAACUCGAAACUUGCUCCAGAUCAACCCCGCAGCAAAAACUUGUGGAGCUCCUCGGCNAGGACCUUAGGGGAACCGGUCUCUUGACCUCAGGGACCGGUCCCUGAACAUAGAAAAGUUCAGUAAAGUAUUUUUAAAGCAAUCUAAGCCUUCUGAACUUAUUCUAAUCAACUAUCUUCAUCACAAAUGAUCUUUUCUUCAUACCUUAGGUGCCGAACUUUACGAGUGAGUCUUUUCCCUUCAAUUUAGAUCUUUUCUUCAAUCUUCUGCAAUCAACUCUUCAAGACUCCAUUCAACAUUACGAAAGCCGCCAACCUAUAAAAUCCUUAACACUGUCGAGAGAACGCCCUUUUGUGGUAGUUGAAAAUGUCCGAAACACAAAAAGUACUUUGGAGUUGAGUCCGCGAGAGCAAAUGAGGCAAACUGCAUCAUUGGGCUGAUGUUGCUCUCGGGGACCGGUCUCUCCAGGUGAGAGACCGGUUCCCUCGGCUGGGUGUAGCGGGGUUGCUUGGUGCAACCGGUCCCUGGUAGGGAGGGAUCGGUUCCCGAACGUGGUCCCAGCGAGAAUUGCCAAAAAUUGGCUAAGUCUUGAAAAUUGAGCUCUCGCGGACCGGUCUCCCAGGUGAGGACCGGUCUCCUGAGGACCGGUCUCCCGGGGGGAGACCGGUUCCCGAACGCGUGCGCCCGAGGGAAGCUCUCGGGGACCGGUCCCAAGUCGGGGAGACCGGACCCUCCGCGCGAAAACUGCCUUGUGAGGGCAGUGCACAGGAGUGAAAGUUGAGGGGCUUUUAUGCAAAAUGGCUUUUAUUUGAGUGGGCUGAGCCCUCUCUCUCCCUCACACUCAUCUCAUUUCACUUUCUCUCACUCUCUUUCUCUCUUGCUCUCUCUCUCUCUAGAAAAAAAAGGAAAAGAGAAGGAGAAGAAGAAAGAGAAGAAGAAGAAGGAGAAGAAGAAGAAGAAAAAGAAGGAGAACAAGAUAAGGAAGGCUUGGAGCAUCUUCCUCUCUUUCUCUCUUCUCCAUUUGUGUAGCUCUUGAGGUAGGCUACUAAACCCUAGCUUUGUAUACUUAGGGUUUUUGGGUUUUUAUGCUUUGGAAUGGGUCAAAUGGACCCCAAGCAUACUUCUAAGUAGAUCAAUCCCAUAAAUCUAGGGUUUUAUUAGAGGUUUGCUAUAUGUGCAACCUAGGGCUCCAAAUGGGGGCAUUUUGUAAAGUAUGAGAUUGAUCUCAUUUGAGGCCUUGUAAACCUAAUCGAUAGGUGCCCAAACGCGGGGGCGAAGUCAAUUUUGCGAUUCGUCAAGAGGGCUUGGAGCUAUCGGCGAAAUACGGUUGUUUCGGCACUAUCUUGGACCAAGGAAGGCUAAAGCCUUUUCGUAAAACUCACCGAGGAGCGUUUUUGGGGCCUCUACGUUGAUUAAAGGUGGGGGGUGCCAUCCCGAAGCUUUCGAACUCCUUUCUAUGUCUUAGAUUGCAUUUAAUCUCAUCUCUUCAUGUUGCAUUGUAGGAUUGCAUAGUAGCACCAUUCCUUAUGCUUUCUAAAUGAUAACCUAGUGUACUUGGAACGCUUGGUAACUUAGAUAGGUGAGGAUUGGGUCGGAACGUGGAUCCUAUGAUGCGAAAGAAAAGAGAUGUACCCGAUGGGGGUGUUGAUGACAUAGAAAGUAUUGUUAAUGUUAAAGAACAUACAAGUGGCAUCCAAACAUUGAAUGAUGACGAGUGGCAUUAAUGUAGUGUAUACGACACUAGAGGUUUGAGAACCUAGGGAUAGGUGGAUCGCUUAGAAAAUGCCUUGCGGACAAGAACUUAGUAAACCUAAGUAGCCUCACAUUGAGAGGUUGUUGAUGAGUCGAUUGAGACAUUGACCCUAGUGGUAGGGCAUCCUCACUUGGAGAGGACUCGAUUGGGUAUUGACUCUAGUUGAUAGCAUCCUCACUUGGAGAGGAUUGGAUUCGGUUGUUGACCCUAGUGAUAGUGCAUCCUCACUUGGAGAGGAUAGAUCUAGCUCACAGUCUGCGUUUGGGAUGGUAUAGCCAUCCAAUCCCCACAUGGAGGGGAUUGUCGUCGAGUACUCCGAAGUGUCGCGCGACUAGGACCACUUGGAGGUCCAGACCACAUGGAGGUCCGCAGACGGUCCUGGGCUUGGGUGCACUUGGAGCUCCCUCCCCACUUUGGGAUUGAAAGGUAAGUUAUGGGCGAGCCCUAGGGCCUCGCCACAGAUUGGGUAAAUGGAAAUGUUAAAGGUCUAACAAUGUUAUUGAACAUAGCUAUUCGAACAUGGAUCGAAUUUGUUAGCAUGGUAGCAAACCUUUAUUAUAUGAUGCAUGCAUUCAUAUUAAUGAUUAUGGGCAUAAUAGCAUAGUUUUCCUACUAUCGCAUUUACAGCUUUCACAUACAUAUCUAUCUAUCUAUCUAUUUGUUGUUACUUGUGCCCACUUGGACCUAGUGGGGAGAUCGGCAGAGUCGGCGGCCGAGCCCACUGGGAACUAUGGAAGAUAGUUCUCACCCCACUCUAUUUCCAGUGGUAGGUUCAGGGCUGCAGAUAGAGGACCGCGGCAAGGGCAUCGCGCCCGACCAGUGAGACCGUGGUAGUAUAGUAGCUUUCCUUUUUGCAUUAGUUCACCUAUGUAUUGAGAGAGAUCAUUGUAGGUGAGGAUUCAGAGAGCUAUGUAUUUUGAAGAUGAAAAAUGUAUUCAUGUAAAUGAAAUGUUGGAACUAUUGUAAUAGUUAGCAAGUACUCUCUUUAUUUCACUUGUUUUAUCUUGUGGAUCGCUUGCUCCUUGUAUUGUUGGCACUGUUUGUGCCCUUGUGAAUGUGUAUGCUUAGAAUUUAAUUUUCUGGGUAAAUUCUUGUACACAUUCCUGUUGUUGAGCCUUGGGCGAAUAGGGGAGGUGCUGUCCGUUCGGUGGCUCGCCGCCGCGGCCGAACCGUACCAAAUUGGUAGUGGUUUCGGGGCGGAGCGUGACAAGUUUCUUAUAUAGUAUAAAUUAUUGAAUCAAAGGAUUUGUUUAAAUAAAAUUUCUAUCAAAUGAUUUUUAAAUAAAAACAAAAUUUAAAAUCUAGAUAUUUUUAUUUUUCUAACUAGUAUGCUUAAUGAUUUCUUAACUUCAAAACUAAAAGAUUCGAUUCAUAUUAUGAAUCCGUAUCCCUCUGUCAUCCAAAUUGUAUUUGAACUUGUUUCGAUCAAAUAUGAUUGUGAAAUUUAUCAUCCAUUCAAUAUUUGUGUCCGAAUUGGUAUCCGCAUAUCAAAUACAAAACUGUUAAGCUUAUUAGAUCAUUGUCAUCCCUAAUUAAGAUACCACUGUUUGUGUUUGGCAUGUGAGCCAUUUUAUAUCGGACGUUUUUGGGUCAUGCUGGGAAGUAAAAGUCAAAUAUCCUGAUUAUAUCAGGAAAGAGCAGAGCAGAGCAGUGCAAAGGUAGGUGGUUAUUAUCCAUCCAUAUUAUUAUACCGUUUGUACUCACUCCCGCUUAAUUUAUUUAAUUAUUGGUAGUCCACACUGCACAGCAGCGGGCUGCGAGCUGCCAUAUUCAACUCAUUACCCUUUCUCCUUCUUUUAAAAAUAAACAAAACACCUUUUUAUUUCUUCCAAAGAAAAGAAAGUUGAAACAAAUAGGAUGGGAUGGGAUGGGAUGGGGGCAACAUUCAGCACAGAAUCCGUGCCAACUACCGCCCAACCCCCACCCCCACCUCCACCUGCUCCCUUUAAAAAUUCUUCUCAAACAUUAUUAGCUAGCUCUCAGCCACGCUACCUGGAGACGGCACAAGUAUUAAAUAUACAAGAAUAUUAAAGAGUCCAUCACCCGAGGAAGGUCCCAAACACAUUCUCCAUCAAUUAAAUAUAGAAUAUUAAAGAUACUAUCAUCCAGAACUCAGCUUUCAGAUAAACUAAGCUUCUGUAUUUCAAUCUCAUAAUAAAGAGUCCUAAUUUUAUUUCAUUUUCUCUCGUUUAAUUAUAACAUAACUUCUAUUAUGAUGCACGCACCCUUCUCAUUUGAAACAAAACGAAAAUGCCUGCGCCUAAUAUAAUAGGUAGGUCAUUAUUAAAUUCCAGAAAACACACUAAACAAACGAGAGAAAGUAGAGAUAUUUUAGACUAAAAAAAUUACCGGAGUGGCUGGAUAGUUAGGAAAAGAAAAUGAACGCACAAGGAAGUAAUAAACUGAGCGCACUCUGGAAAUGUUGGCUCCCUAAUACAACACAUUCUUCCACUUUGCUUAAGAGCCAUGAAAUUGACACUGCAUCAUACAAUAUUUGUAGCACACUGAACUUUAAUAAAUUAUAAGGUUUCAGUGUCCGAAUAGUGUUUGGUACUAUUCUGGAUGUGUUCGAGGGUCGAGAACUGUGUACCGAUCUAUUACUCGCGUUUUGUGAAGCGAUGUGAGUACUUAGCACCAAAAUAUGCAAACUGCAAGUUUUUGGGUGCUGAAUACCGAUACCACAGUGGGGUACCGAUACCUUGACGUGUGACUGAGAGGGCUGCUCUCGGGUUUGAGCUGAUCUAUUACUCGCGAAUAGUGUUUGGUACUAUUCUGGGUGUGUUCGAGGGUCGAGAACUGUGUACUGAUCUAUUACUCGCGUUUUGUGAAGCGAUCGUGAGUACUUAGCACCAAAAUAUACAAAAUGAAAGUUUUUGGGUGCUGAAUACCGAUACCACAGUGGGGUACCGAUACCUUGACGCGUGACCGAGAAGGCUGCUCUCGGGUUUGAGCUGAGGGGUGCUAAUUAAGUAUCGGUACAGAGUCGUCGGGUACCGGUACUCGGGCCGGAUACUGAUACUGCAUCGAGCUGGUACCGGUACACCGUAGUUUACCCACUUGAUAGAGGCUCGGGUUUUGCAGAUUGGUUGACGGGUACCGGUACUCUCCUUCGAGUACCGGUACACAAUGCAGUCUGACAUUUUAGCUCCUUUAACUCCACCAGUGCUAUUCUAUACGGAGCCUUCGAAACUGGUUCCGCCCCGGGAAUCAAGUCAAUGAUGAACUAGACUUCCCAGUCCGGUGGCAGUCUUGGUAACUCCGCCGGAAAUACAUCCGGGUACUCGCACGCUACUCGAAUAUCCCCCAACUCUGGGUACUCCUUUCGAGCAUUCACUGUCACGCCCCGACACCCGCCUAUUUGGUCGGAUUUGGGCACGCCGACAGACCGCCGAACAGACAGAAUUUCUCCUGUACGUCCUAGGCGUCGCAAUCAAUACAAUUCACGAUGUUCCAACCAAGAACAGAAAUCAACAUACAGAUUGCAUAUGGAAAGGUAUCAACAACAUAAACACAUCUUAUGUUAUUACAAGCAUUCACAUUGAUACAUUUGCUUACAUCUCAAUUACACUUUCUCUCCAACAUACAAUAUGAGUUAUUACAAUUUAUUACACAUUUGAUACAUCUUGUUCUUUUAUUUUCCUCUACCCCUAGGCUAUGCUGACUCGGGGUACCACUAUCUUUGGUCUCUGGGUAGGGUGCUAUCUACGGAGCUACGCCCUUGCCUCGCGCCGCUGCGCCGCUCAUGUGCAAACCUGUAAAACCCUAAAACAACGUGUGGUGAGAACCAACUCCAUGGUUCCCAGUGGGUACAGCCACCCAGGGGAAAAGCUCGACCAAUAGGUCCAAGGAAGCACUGCAACAAGUUAGUCCAAUAACAUAUAACAGAUAUAUAUAUUCGAUAUUGAACUAAAUGUCAUGCCUCGCAAAAUGCAAUAUGCAAUAUCCGUAACUUGAUUCUACUUCAUAUUAUUAACCAUUCUUUACUUGUAGCCGUUCUUUACUUUAUUAGUUAUUCUUUAUCAUUAGCUUUUCUCUAGUCUUUACUUGGUCACAUAACGCUCAUUGGCGAUUCUUUCCUAAGGUUGCUCAUACCUUAGCCAUCUAUGCCACUUGACUCGGUUUUGAGUCAAUCCUCUACGGAUAGUCCGCACACUGGCUGCUCAACAGCCCAUCGCACUCGAUGACUCGGCCACCCGGCGGCGAAAUCGUCGCACACGCACAGCUCUGGCUCAAGUCACCCUGCGGUAUGAUCCACAAACUGGCUCAACCAUCCGGCGACGAAAUCGUCGCACACGCCAUGACAAUGGUUCUUUAGCCCCGGGCAGCGAAAUCGUCGCACACACCCUGCACAACUCUUGGUGUUCCACGAGUCCUGAGAUUCUGGAAUCCAUUUCACAGUACUCAAGGAUUGGUCUUAACCCUAUGAAAUUGACCUAUCUAGGUCCAAGCCUUUACUCAACCUAAGUUAAUACUUUAGGUUCAUUGCUUUCAUACUCUUAGCCUAGGUUUAUUAACACUAGGUCCAUUAUUCUCGUCUACCUAGAUUCACUUGACUCUAGGUUCUUACCUUUACCUCACAACCUAUGUUCUCUAACAUUAGGUUUAAUGCCUUUCUCGUUAACCUAUGUUUAUUAACACUAGGUUCAUUAUCACUCUUGUUCAACCUAGGUUCACGACUCUAGGUUCAAUGCCACUCGAUCUAUAUGUAUACAUAUGUCCUUUACUCCUAGGUUCACGACUCUAGGUUCAAUGCCACUCGAUCUAUAUGUAUACAUAUGUCCCUUACUUAGCAUUCUUACAUUAACUAUAUUCUUAGCAUUAACCACAUGCUUGCAUUUAUUAAUUCUACAUCAUGCUUAUCAUACAAUUACUUAGCAUUCUUACAUUAACAUUUCUACACAUACAACAUGACUAACGUAUGUCAUUUAUUCUAUGCUUUCCACUUAGCAUUAUUUACACUAUGUCAUUACGCACCGUUUGGUAGCCUCACUUAGCAUUCAUCUCAUGCAUACACAUGGUCUAUUAAUAGCUACCAUUAUAUGCAUCAAUAAUAAUACUCAUUCUUAGACAUACAGGCGACCUAGUCGCUUCGGUAAAUACAACCGACCUUAACUCGCGUUUCGAUUGCUUGUCGACACUUGCAAUCGGCCUCCCGCGGCACCCGUAUCCGGCACAGCCCAAUAUUGCAAUUGCACCACAACCGUGCUCCGCUUCGCAGCCCCGAAAAUUAUAGGUCUUCGGUUAUGUGCCACGGUGCUCCAAAUCCAUUUCCACGAUUUUACGACGUCGCCUCGGCCCUCCAGACGGCAACGAAGCCUAAACGUCUGUUUCUUUAAUAACUUCGCAACGGCUCGUCGGAUUGCCGAACCGUCUUCGCCAACGCAUUUGUUUACCUAGCAAUUAGGCUUACGAAGGGUUAAAUGAGAUCAAACCCACCUCCUAGCAAAAAUUGCAUUACAGAGCCCUAGGUUACAACUAUUGUAAGAAAUCAUUAAAUUGAUCCAUGAUUCAAGCAUUAAUCCUCUAUUUAGCAUCAUAGGAUUCCAAAUAAGCCAUUUCUAUGGAUUAUAAACAAAGAUUUGAAGAUCUACCAUGAAAGGGCUCAAGAAGAUCACCUCAAAAUGAGCUCUAAACCAUGGAGAAGAUGAGGAAGAUGACGGCGAUUCACCUCCAAGCUUCAAUCUCCGCCAAUUUCUUUAAUUUUGGGAGAGAUUUAGAGAGAGAAUUUGAAGUUCUCUCUCUCCCUUCCAUGCGUGUGUGCGUGCGUGUGUAUGUGCGGUUUGGGCUGCUGUGGCUGAGCAAGGAGAAGAAGAAAAGGGUUGAGUCCCUUUUUACCAUUUUUCCCCUCAACUAAACACUAUUCAUCACGGGCAGCUUGAAAUCUGAUAAAUUUCGUUGGAGCCCUUCUGAAUGUCCGUUUGAGCUCAAAUUUGACAGGCAUGUUCGGUUUCACUUAAUAAGUCCAAAAAAAUUUUAAUCUUUCAGUUUCGACCCCGUUUGGUCACUGAAAACUGUACCGAACUACAAUCUUUAUCAGAUAGCUUUCGAAUUCUAUUUCUCUCUCUACGGGUGUCAAAAUGGUAUGAAACUUUAAAUCUAGCCCCAUAAAAAUAAUUCUGACAUAUCCGUCAAUUUUCAUAAUUUUCUGACUGUGAGAUCUCUGGUGUUCAGCUGUGGAGGCUUGUCGGCAGCUCUGGAGAGUGUCGGGAUAAGUUCGAGUCGCGUUGGUGUCAAAUAGACGUAAAACGGGCUUCGUGAGACGCGAGGGCAGUUUUUAGCGAAGAAAAUCUGCAAUUUGCUCAUUUACUGCUUGCUGUAACGGUACAGCCAUCGUGGUGUACCGGUACACUACACAGAUUACGCGCAUACUGCUCUCGGGUUGGCUUCCUGUACCGGUACGCGAUCCCGUGUACCGGUACACCAGGGUAGGUGAGAGGGUGUUUUGGUCUUUUUCUACCUCGUUCGUAUCACCCUCCUCUCCCCAGCUUAUUUACAUAUAGAGUAAGGCUGAGAGAGAGAGUUUUGCUCUUGGUUUCCUCCCCUCUCUCUCUAGAACCAAUUGUGGGCAAGGUGGAGCUCGGGUGGAGUUUCGUCGCCGACGUGGUGCCGCGGAGCCGUUCGAGCGCACGUUGUGUCGUCUUGGUGCUAUGAGGAGCUCGGGCGAGCGUAGAUUUCCGUCGUCCUCGACAUUGCGCCGAUUCUUGAGGAUCUAUCGAGGUGAGUGCUCUGUGGAAUUGCCGCGCAUACUUCAGGUAUCAUCAAUUCGAGCUUAAGUGCUGAUUCGCAGGAUUUUGUCGGCGACUGUUAGUAUUUCAGCUCGUUCUCGACGUAGGAGCAUCGGAUUGCGACGAGACUUGGUGCGUUGGAUUCGGGACUUCGAGAGGAAUCCAAGAAGCCCUUACAUGCGAAUUUUGGUGAAGGUUAGCUUGGUCGAAAUCCUUCUCUUCUCUGCUGCUGUGGAUUUUGGGACUGAAUUGGUGGAUUUUGAUCGUAGAGCUUAGAGUUAGCUCGAGUGCUAGACUUGGAGGGUUCCCGUUAAUCCAGCAGGGGUCACUUUGGUUCGAGGCCUUGUUCGCUGCCAGGAGCUAGCUUCUUGAGGUGGGUUACAUUGGUUUUGACUCCUAAGUUCAUAAUCGUCAACAUGUAUAGAUCUCGAUUUUGAUAAUUUAUUCUAGCUCGAAUUCAUGGAUUAUAUGAUAGAAUGCAAAUCUGAAUUUGGAGCAUGUGGUAAUAAAUUAAGUAGAUUAUAUAUGUUGGACUUGGAAACUGAAUUAGGAGAAAACCUGCGAUUUGGACCGUCACUUGAUUAAACUGCCUGAUUUAGCUCUAGGAGCUGUUAUUAUAUUGUACUGUCGCAGUAUUUUCGAGACGAGUACUCCAGGUAGUUUAGAAUGUAUCUACACUCGUGCUAGUUCGCCGAGGGGAUUUUACAGGGUCAUUCAAGCUGUUCCGUACUGUAGGGUGCCGUUGAGAUUGACGGUGGACCCGUUUCGCCUUUUUGGUGUCUGAUUGUGCCGAGGGCACGUUACUUGUUGGUUGUUAGACCAGUUAGAGUCGAUUUCUUGACUUUGGCUUUUCAGAGCCUGUUUGAGCUCGACAGAGAUACGCUGCAUACUCGGUUGGGUAGCGCCCACGAGUGCCACUCCGGAGUCAGGCUUUGUGCUUUCGCGUUGGUGUCGCUCAUGCCAGUUGGACUUGCUCUCCACGGACCAGUUAGUGUGGAUAGAGCUUGAUAGUCGCAACGGGGCAGGGACGGGUGUAUUCACAGUCCCGGGGACGGGUAUGCUUACAGUCCCGAUUGGAUUGGGUCAGAGUUGACAUUUCCUACAGUUGGUUAGUGUAGAGCAUGAUAGUGUAGUGAUCGAUAGCGGUAGAGUUUAUUUCCUGCUUUUCUGACUACUCUUGCUCCCUUCUGUAGACUUAGUGGGUGGACCGAUGUUGUUUUGGGCGGUACCCACUGAGGACUACUUGUUUUUACAGUAGUUCUCACGCCCAGUUGUUACCUAUGUUUUUGCAGAGCCACAGGUUCCGGCUGCUGCACCGUCCGCGGAUCAGGAUCGAGGCAAGGGCGUCGCGAGUUAGAGCCCUACCCGACGUGCUGAGCUAGAGGUGCCCCUACUGCAGGUAGAUGUUUUGUUUCGAGUUUAUGUACAUAGUGGACUUAACUCGCCAGUGCGAGUAGCUUUGUAUUUUGGAUUUGGACUAUGUAUAUGAAACUCAGUUUGUUUAGCUUCUGUUUUCUCUAGCAGCUCUCUACUACUGUUCGUAGUAGUGUUUGAUUUACAGGUACAGCUAUCGCUUCGUAUACAGGGAAAAUUUCUUUGUAUACGGCGGAUUUGUCGGCGUGCCCGGGGAACGUGUAAUCCGGGGCGUGACAGAUUAAGUUGGUAUCAGAGCUUUGCUGUAGGUCGUUGGGACCUAGGAAACCUAAGUUUGGCAAACCUUAGGGAAGCAAGACGUGAGAGGCGUAAUUUUAUUGCGAAAGUCAAUGAUUAUUUGUUCUAACUCCUCUUAGAGCAGAGUGAGUGACUGAAGGAGUUUCUGUUUCGGCCUGAGAAAUUAUGUUGGCUGCAGACGACAUAAUUUUGGAGGGAAACAGGGACCGCCUUCUAGACUUUCGUUUGAUUGGGUCGAGAGUGUUUUGUUGUAUCUGACCCCGAUUUGUUCCUUUCAGCUAUGUAUCGUCGCCGAGGUCGACCGUCGUUGCGGGAGCGUGCCCAGUUGGCGCGGGAUCAUGCUGGACCUUCUGAGAGAUCUGAGCAGAUGGAGCAGAGUACUCGGCAGGAGCAGGGUGACAGACUGGGGGCGAGUGUACCCCCUGUUGUGGAGCCGAGUGCGCGACCAGAGACUAGCGCACCCCCUGAUCUGAGUGCACAGUUAGCUGCCCUGACCGAGGUGACGAGACAGCAGGGGGAGCUAUUGCAGAGGUUGUGUGAGAGGAUAGCUCAGCCACCGAGUUCUGUACCGAGGGCACCAGAGUCGCCAGUUCCACCCCCGACUACUCCAGUGACAGCACCAGCUGCAGCAGUUCCUCCAUCGGCAGCAGUUCCAGUAGCGCCAGUUGCGCCUGCUAGGGGGCCAGUACCGUUGACUGAGGCCGAGCAGGAGCGGUGGACGGAGAGGUUAGCUCGUUUUCGCCGAUUUGAUCCACCGAUCUUCGAUGGCAGAGGCACUGAGGCCUGGAUUGUUGAGGGAUGGGUCAGUGCGAUGGAGAAGUUAUUCGAGGAUCUGUUCGUUCCAGAGUGGGAGCAAGUACCUUUGGGAGUACACUGUCUGUCUGGUGAUGCACAUGAUUGGUGGCGUAGAGCGAGGCGAGACCAGGGACUGGUGGCGACACAGUUGAGGUGGGAUGAGUUCUGUGGAAUGCUGUAUGGGAUGUAUUUCCCCAACAGCAUGAAACAGAAGAUCGAUGAGGACUUGAAGAGGAUCCAGUAGGGUAGCGGACAGUUCAGGAGUAUGUUCGGGAGUUUACUAGGCUCCUGAACUGUGUUUCGUUCGUGGCCAGAGACGAGGCACAUAGGGUCUACUUGUUUGAGCAGGGUUUAAGACCCGACCUUUUCAGGUUCGUUAGGGCGCAGAGGUCGAGAACUUUGGAUGCGUCCAUUGAGCAGGCAUUAUGGGAGGAGAGAGGAGAGGUGUCGCUGCGGGAGAGGGCUCAGGGGCCGGGACAGAGUCAGGACAGGAAGCGCCCAGCUCCAGACGNUUUAUUGCGAAAGUCAAUGAUUAUCUGUUCUAACUCCUCCUAGAGUGGGGUGAGUGACCGAAGGAGUUCCUGUUUUGGCCUGAGAAAUUAUGUUGGCUGCAGACGACAUAAUUUUGGAGGAAAACAGGGACCGCCUUCCAGACUUUCGUUGAUUGGGUCGAGAGUGUGCGUUGUAUCUGACCCCGAUUUGUUCCUUUUAGCUAUGUAUCGUCGCCGAGGUCGACCGUCGUUGCGGGCGCGUGCCCAAUUGGCGCGGGAUCGUGCGGGAUCCCCUGAGAGACCUGAGCAGAUGGAGCAGAGUACUCGACAGGAGCAGGGUGGCAGACCGAAGGCGAGUGCACCCCCUGUUGUGGAGCCGAGUGCGGGACCUGUGGCUAGCGCACCCCGGGAUCUGAGUGCACAGCUGGCUGCCCUGACUGAGGUGACGAGGCAGCAGGGGGAGUUGUUGCAGAGGUUGUGUGAGAGGAUAUCUCAGUCACUUAGUUCAGCACCGAGUGUACCAGAGCAGACUGUUCCACCACCGACUACUCCAGUGACCGUACCAGCUGCAGCAGUUCCUCCGUCGGCAGCAAUUCCAGUAGCGCCAGUUGCGCCGGCUAGGGGGCCAGUACCGUUGACUGAGGCCAAGCAGGAGCGGUGGACGGAGAGAUUAGCCCGUUUUCGUCGAUUUGACCCACCGAUCUUCGAUGGCAGAGGCACUGAGGCCUGGAUUGUUGAGGGAUGGGUCAGUGCGAUGGAGAAGUUAUUCGAGGAUCUGUUCGUUCCAGAGUGGGAGCAAGUACCUUUGGGAGUACACUGUCUGUCUGGUGAUGCACAUGAUUGGUGGCGUAGAGCGAGGCGAGACCAGGGACUGGUGGCGACACAGUUGAGGUGGGAUGAGUUCUGUGGAAUGCUGUAUGGGAUGUAUUUCCCCAACAGCAUGAAACAGAAGAUCGAUGAGGACUUGAAGAGGAUCCAGUAGGGUAGCGGACAGUUCAGGAGUAUGUUCGGGAGUUUACUAGGCUCCUGAACUGUGUUUCGUUCGUGGCCAGAGACGAGGCACAUAGGGUCUACUUGUUUGAGCAGGGUUUAAGACCCGACCUUUUCAGGUUCGUUAGGGCGCAGAGGUCGAGAACUUUGGAUGCGUCCAUUGAGCAGGCAUUAUGGGAGGAGAGAGGAGAGGUGUCGCUGCGGGAGAGGGCUCAGGGGCCGGGACAGAGUCAGGACAGGAAGCGCCCAGCUCCAGACGACGGAGGUCAGUCGAGUAGCAGGCGUCCGCCGAGGCCUCCACGAUCGCAUUCACAGGGUCGUGGGUUUUCGGGGCGUCAGCGGUCCAGGGACUCUCGUCAGAGGGGACAGCCAGAGAGGACGCCGCAGUGUGUGAUCUGCGGAGGACCACACUGGCCCAGACAGUGCGAGCAGAGGGAGGGCCGGUGCUACGGAUGUGGUCAGCCGGGACACAUGAGGGCAGCUUGUCCCCAAGCAGCAUCUCCAGCACCAUCGUCAGCUUCAGCUCCACCAGCACCUCAGCAGACUUACAGAGCAGCGCCGAGUUACCGCCAGGAUGAUAGAUCAUCCAUGCCGCGACAGUGUGAGCGGCGACAGCAGGCUCCGAGUGGCAGAGUCUAUGCAGCACAGGUGGAGGACUCUACGGCAGCCAACCGAGUGGUGGCAGGUAUCACUUUGAUUUUCGGCAUUCGUACUCGUACUCUUUUUGAUACUUGAGCCUCGCAUUCUUUUGUUAGCCGAGCAUUUGUAUUGUUGCAUGGUCUAGAGUUAGGGGCAUUGUCACAGGCACGAGAGGUGCAGAUUCCGGUCCAUGUUUUACAGGUUGCAGAGUGUUGUUGGUCAUGUCCGGUGCAAUUGGAUUCGUGGGUUAUGCCCGCAGACCUGUUGGUGCUAGGGCAGCUGUAGGACUUCGACGUUGUGCUCGAUAUGGAUUGGCUGGCGCGGUACUAUGCUACGAUUGAUUGUGGAGCGAGGACGGUGACGUUCCACGAGCCAGGCCAGGAUGAGUUCACUUUCAGAGGCUGCAGGAGUACGUUGUUUGCCACCUGGAUCUUUUCGGCGAGGCUCGACAGAUGCUGAGUAGCGGGUGUAUUUGUCACGCCCCGAGGUCCCUUUUAAGUUUGGAAAAACAGCGGAAACGACUAAAUUUUUUUUUUGAAGCACCUGAUCCCAGAUAUUGUCAGAUCCGCCACAAAUACAGAGAAUCCACUAUUCACACGGACAGAGUCUCCCCUGUAUUUGCACGGCGUCGCACAAGUACAAAAGUACAAACAGUAUACAACCACAACUAAAUGAAUAUACAGAUAGCUAUACGUUCAUACAUUUACCAUUCACACCGUAGUUUUACAUUCGAUGUUUAAACAAAAGUCCACGAAAAACCUUUUAAAAACUGUUCCAUACGCGAAAACUUUUAUCUUUUAUAAAGGCUACCACGAGGGGUAGAAAACCUUUUAUUUUACCAAAUCCAGAAAUUCUUUUAUUACAUUCAUGAAAGUCCACAUAUUCUAAUGUAAUAAAAAUACUGAACCAUAUAAACUGACUAAGCUAUAACAACAGAAUAGUAGGGAUAAAACUAAACCGAUAAUCUGGGUCGGAAGCUCUAUCGACCGCUACGAACGUACCUCACGGCUCGUCCCAAAACUCAACGUCUGCAACACCUGAAAAAUAGUGGGGGAGGUGAGAACAUGUAAACAUGUCUCCCCUCCCAGUGGGUACCGCAAGCCGAAGAAGGCGAGGAGUACUCACCGGAUCAGGAAGAGAUAAACAACAGUAUGGGUAAGUAAAAUACAGUAGCAACGAUAAUGAACGAAUGAGAUAUAUAUAUGAAAACACAACUACCGCUACUGUAAUGUACAACUGCAAGCAUACAAGGAUAUCAAAACUAUAGUAGCAAGACAACUGUAAAGAAAGAACUAGAAGUAUAUAUGCAACAACCGCUACUAUAGCUAUAUGCGUCAACCGGACGAGAAGUCCAAAAGUACCCAAUCUAAACCGCCGUGUCGGUCUAAGGACCUCAGGCAAAAGCCACUACCUGCUCACACCUGGCAUGUAACCCUAGCACAAAGAGAACACCGCUGGGCUCACGGGUCGGAUGUACGACCACUUUUCCGGAAAAGAACACCCUCCUGCGGGGGAUCAACCCGCUGGUGUACGUGAAAUGCACUCGAGCUGUGGCGAUCAAUGCGGAUAUGAUCAAUAGCCAAAUGUCGGCAACCAGCCAACAAUCACCGCCCCUCGGGGCAAGCCGACCAAUAGGUCAUCAAACUAUAAAGAAGCACAAGAACCGACCACUCAAGUCAACUAGGAUGGAACGACUCUACAUCCUCUCAACUGUAUGUAAGUACUGACUAAUCAAGUCAACUGGGAUGGAACAACUCAACAUCCUACCAAAAGUAUGUAGAUACUGAUCAAUAGGUCAACUACUGUAUAUAUGCAAGAAUCGAUCAACAAGUCAUCUGAGUAUAUAAUCUAGAACUACCGUCGGCCAUGGCCGACAAUCCUACCCCUCAGGGUACACCGACCUCAAAGGUCAUCAAACGACAGAAGUCAAGAAACAGACCAACCCAAUACAUAAUGCAACAACCGACCAACCAGGUCAACAGAUAUAAGAUAAAAGCACCGAUCAACUAGAUCACCGAAACGAAGUACGAGAACCGACCAAUCAGGUCACCGAAACAAAGUACGAGAACCGACCAAUCAGGUCACCGAAACGAAGUACGAGAACCGACCAAUCAGGUCACCGAAACAAAGUACGAGAACCGACCAAUCAGGUCACCGGUAUCACAUAUGGAUAAACUACUCUACUCCUACACAUGAUACUAAGCAUAGAAACAUAUAAGUAGAGUAUAAUAGAAACAACGGGGAUGCAAGCUCAAAAUAUAAUACGAAAAUAGCAACAGAAGAAUAGGGAUAGAAGAAAUAUCACCGAGCGUGCACCACUGUACCGACGUCGGAUCGAAGUACCUACCUGUAUAAAGCUGAAACGGUCUCGCGAAGGCGGAGACGAAGCGACCGGACCUACGAAGGGUCCACCGGGUUAGAGUCUAACCCACAAACACAAUAACACGACCAUUCUCACACAAAUCCCAAAAUCAAAACCCCUCGGAACUCGGUUUCUCAAACGCAACUACCGAACCAGCCGGAAAUCCCGGAAACCGUACCGAAACUCCACCGUCGCUCACCCGUCGUUUCCGAACCCUCGAGAAGACGCGGGUGACCAGCCAACCAGGCUCAACGACGCUACAAUCAACCACGAGGCACCGUCGGAUGAAUUCCGAGUCGAACGCGCGUUCUAUCGGCGGAUUUCACCGAAAACGCUCCGGAAAUGACAGAUAGAUUUCCGCAAGGGCUUGGGGCCUUGGACGAUCAGUCCAGAGGUUACCUUAAGCCUUAACCUGCUGCCAACAGCAGCCACAACGAAGCGAAACGCAAAAGGAUCCCUAAUGGCCCCUGAAAUCACAUUAUUUUAUGUGAUUUCAUGGCUCUAACGGGUCGUACCAGCAAACCAGGGAUCUAUGGAGGUUGCCAUCGCACUUGCUGCAAGGUUUCAGCAUGCCUGAGGCCGUGCUCACCUUUCGGAGCACUGCCGGCAGCAACCACGCGCGCACGAGCGACGCGAACCUCAGCGAAUCAGUGCGCAUACUGUGGAAAACAGCCUUUUCUCACUAACCAGGGCACCGUUAACCUAAAUGGAGGCGAGCAUCGUGUUCAGCACGAGCCCACGAUCACCGUGCUCACCUCCCGAGGUGCCAGGGAGUCAUCGGAUCGCCGAAAAAGUGACCAGAACGCAAAACAGCAGUGCUGGAACCAAAGUAAACUACUCACCGGAGCUGUGGGAGCUAGGGAUGGCCGCCGGCGAUCGGGCGGCGGGCGCUCCGGCCGGUGAUGGCAGCAGCAAGUCGGGGAGGUCCGGGGGAGGUGCUGGACGGCGGCGGGCAGCAGCCGGUGGCGCGGCGGCGGAGAUCGGGCCCGCACACUUCCUCUCGGGCUGGAGCUUGCCUGCGGCGAGGCGGCGACCGGGGGAGGUCGGGGCGGCGAUGAUCCGGUGCCUGAGACCAAGGGGGAGGUGGUGCUCACCUCAGAGGGCAACGGCAGCGCUCGGGAGUGGCACGGCUCCAAGGUCGGCCCGCACAGGACCCGAGCGGCGGCGGGAGACCUUGGCGGCGGCCGGCGGGGCGCGGGGACGGCCGGGGACGCGCGCGCCGGGUUGCUGGAGGUCGCCGGGGUCCUCAGGGGGGCUUGGCCGCAGGGGAAGUGCGGUCCCAAAGCCCGCAACCUGAGGUCGGCCUGGCUCGGGUCUGGGCAGACCCGGCUGGCUAUAGCCUCUUCCGGCGGCCCCGGGGCUGCUCGGCGGCGGCCGGAACACGAGCACGGGCAGGACAGGGAGGUGCUGGGAUGGCAGGGGCGGCUGGGGUUAGCUGGGGGGUUCUAGGGUUAGGGUUAGCUCAAGAAACCCUAGGACAAACUAUAUAUAGGUGCGGAAAACUCGCGGAAAACCCCCUCGAAAGGAAUCUAAUUAAUCCGAGCUCUCAACCAGCAGUCGCAUAACGCACGAUAGUCCCUCUAAGAUCGAAAACUCGCAAUUCGACGCAUAAAAUAUAGGGCCUUUUCGCGAAUAAUCCAAUUACUCAAAUCAGCCCCUUCGCGGACUUUUCGCGAUUCCCGAAGAUCCGUCCGUCGGAUUUCCGAUCGGAUCGCACCAGCGCGAUCAGCACGACAGAGGCAUCGAAUCUAGCAUUUCGUUUCGCCCGAAAAGGUUCCCGAUUUGCGACAAAACCAUCCCUCCUAGGUUCCACCAAAAACCACAUAUAGACAACUAUAUGUAAAAACCAUUAAACCCCUUUUUCUCGAAAUCCGUGCAUCCAAAUCCAAUUCCGUCAGUGCCAUUGGGUCCAGGAUAGUUGAGCGGUUGAAAACGAGCUAUUGGAAUGCUAUAUUCGGAGUCCGAUACGCGUCGAAAGUCCCCUUUACUCCGCGGCCUCUCCGGAAAACCGGAGUUACUAUUCACUUAAGUCAGACUUCCGGGUCGCGUAACUUCUCCGUUUUAACUCGUUUUCUCCUGAAAUUUGACAAGUACACUUAUAAUUAUAUUACACACAAGAACAUCGUCAAACAAAAGGGUUUAAUCAAUAAAUCAAAAAUCUCAGUUAUUACAGUAUUGCUUUCUUAGCGACAGUUGUGGAGGUACCUACGGCGGCGCCGGGACUUGAGGACAUUCCAGUAGUCCGCGAGUUUCCCGAUGUGUUUUCCCCUGAGUUGACGACGUUGCCGCCGGAGAGGGAGAUUGAGUUUGUGAUUGAUGUAGUUCCUGGAACUGCACCAAUCUCAAAGGUACCUUAUAGAAUGGCGCCGGCAGAGCUGAGAGAGCUGAAGGCACAGCUUCAGGAUUUGGUGGAUAGAGGGUUUGUGAGACCCAGUGUGUCGCCUUGGGGAGCGCCGGUGUUGUUUGUAAAGAAGAAGGAUGGUUCGCUCAGGUUAUGUGUGGAUUACCGGGAGCUGAAUAAAGUGACCAUCAAGAAUAAGUACCCCUUGCCGCGCAUAGAUGAUUUGUUUGAUCAACUGCAGGGAUCUUAUGUUUUCUCGAAAAUUGAUCUCCAGUCAAGUUACCACCAACUGAGGGUGAGGGCCGAGGAUGUUCCCAAGACGGCUUUUCGGACUCGGUACGGGCAUUAUGAGUUCACGGUGAUACCUUUUGGAUUGACGAAUGCCCCUGCCGCAUUUAUGGAUUUGAUGAACAGAGUGCUCAAGCCGUUCUUGGAUAGAUUUAUGGUAGUCUUCAUGGACGAUAUCUUGAUACACUCCCGGAGUGAUACUGAGCAUGAGGAGCACUUGAGGAUUGUGCUACAGCUUCUGCGAGAGAAGAAGCUGUAUGCCAAGUUGAAGAAGUGCGAGUUCUGGCUACGGGAGGUUGCUUUCUUGGGCCACAUGAUUUCAACCGAGGGCGUAGCAGUGGACCCGAAGAAGAUUGAGGCAAUUCGAGAUUGGCCUAGACCGACGACGGUUACUGAGGUACGGAGCUUCCUGGGACUCGCAGGAUAUUACCGUCGGUUCGUGGAAGGCUUGCGAAGCUUUCCACACCCCUUACAAGCUUGACUCGGAAGGGGAUUCGUUUUGUCUGGAGCGACGACUAUCAGAGGAGCUUUGACGAGUUGAGACUGAGGUUGACAUCGGCUCCUAUCCUUGCCCUUCCUGUUAUGGGUGAAGGAUUUGUGAUCUACAGUGAUGCAUCGCACAGUGGACUUGGUUGCGUGCUGAUGCAGCAUGGUAGGGUGAUUGCUUAUGCUUCACGGCAAUUAAAGGAUUAUGAGAAGAAUUACCCUACGCAUGACUUGGAGCUUGCCGUAGUGGUUUUUGCUUUGAAGCUCUGGCGGCAUUAUUUGUACGGCGAGCACUGCGAGGUCUUCACCGGUCAUAAAAGUCUCAAGUAUCUGUUCACACAGAGGGAGCUGAAUCUGAGACAGCGCCGGUGGUUGGAGUUACUGAAGGACUAUGACAUUAGUAUUCAGUAUCAUCCUGGCAAGGCGAAUGUGGUGGCAGAUGCGUUGAGCAGGAAGUCAGUGCAGAGCCUGAGUUUGAGGAUUACUGAGCAGAGGCCCCUACUCGAGGAGCUACAGCGGCUGGGACUCGAGAUAGUACCCCCUGGGUCUACGGCGAGGCUGACAUCUCUUGUGUUGCAGCCCACUCUGUUGGAUAGGAUCCGUGAGAAACAGAGUGGAGAUCCGUAUUUGUUGAGGAUUAGAGAGCAGCUAGACAGGGGGAAGGAUGAGGGAUUUGCUUUGGACAGUGCGGGAGUACUUAGGUACAGGGACCGACUGUGUGUACCUGUGGAUCCUGAGAUUCGAGCGGAUAUUCUGAGAGAGGCUCAUUGUUCUCCUUAUACAGUUCACCCUGGGGGAACCAAGAUGUAUAAGGAUCUUAAGGCACGGUUCUGGUGGCCUGGAAUGAAGAGGGACAUUGGCAGAUAUGUGGCUCAGUGUUUGACUUGCCAACAGGUAAAGGCCGAGCAUCAGAUGUCUGCUGGCAAGCUUCAAAGUCUGCCAGUGCCCGAGUGGAAGUGGGAGUACAUCACUAUGGACUUUGUCGUUGGAUUGCCUAGAGCGCAGGGUGGCUACGACGCGAUUUGGGUGAUAGUGGACAGACUGACCAAGUCUGCUCACUUCCUACCGGUUCAGACUACCUGGUCCAGAGAGAGACUCGCGCAGCUAUACUUAGAUGAGAUCGUUAGGCUGCACGGCGUGCCAGUGUCGAUUAUAUCAGACAGAGACCCGAGGUUUGUAUCACAUUUCUGGAGGAGUUUGCAGACAACCUUGGGUACACAGCUGCAUUUUAGCACGGCGUUCCACCCACAGACAGAUGGUCAGUCAGAGAGAACCAUACAGACUCUAGAGGACAUGCUGAGGGCAUGCGUCCUGGAUUUUGGAGGAGGGUGAUAUCGACAUGUGAGACUGGUUGAGUUUGCGUACAACAACAGCUAUCAAACAAGCAUUCAGAUGGCUCCGUUUGAGGCGUUGUAUGGACGCAGAUGUCGAUCCCCCCUGUUUUGGAGUGAUGUGGGUGAGCGGAGGACACUUGGACUAGAGAUUUUACUUGAGGCUGAGGAUAAGGUGAGAGUCGUUCGACGACACCUUUUGACAGCACAGAGCCGACAGAGGAGCUACGCCGAUACCAGGAGACGAGACUUAGAGUUUCAGGUUAGAGAUCUUGUUUUUCUCAAAGUCUCGCCGUCUAGAGGGAUACGCCGCUUUGGAGUACGUGGAAAGCUUAGUCCACGGUUUGUUGGCCCUUUCGAGGUAUUGGAGCGUAUCGGACCGGUGGCUUACAGGAUAGCUCUACCCCCGCGACUUGCUGGCAUCCAUGAUGUUUUCCACGUCUCAGCACUGAGGAGAUAUGUUUUUGACCCCUCUCACGUGAUUGACUUCACUCCACUCGAGAUUGGCGAGGAUCUGAGAUACGAGGAGCGACCGUUGCGGAUUCUUGCUCGAGAGACGAAAGAAUUGCGCAACCGGGUCAUCCCGUAUGUGAAAGUGCAGUGGAGGCGUCAUGAUGAGCGGGAGGCGACUUGGGAGCCUAAAACGGUGAUGAGGGAAGCCUAUCCCUAUUUGUUUGAUGCCUGAGCAGAGGUAUGUUUCAGUUUCGUGGACGAAACUUUUCGUAGUGGGGGAGGAUGUGAGAUCCCUGGUGUUCAGCUGUGGAGGCUUAUCGGCAGCUCUGGAGAGUGUCGGGACAAGUUCGAGUCGCGUUGGCGUCAAAUAGACGUAAAACGGGCUUCGUGCGACGCGAGGGCAGUUUUUAGCGAAGAAAAUCUGCAAUUUGCUCAUUUACUGCUUGCUGUACUGGUACAGCCAUCGUGGUGUACCGGUACACUACACAGAUUACGCGCAUACUGCUCUCGGGUUGGCUUCCUGUACCGGUAAGCAAUCCCGUGUACCGAUACACCAGGGUAGGUGAGAGGGUGUUUUGGUCUUUUUCUACCUCGUUCGUAUCACCCUCCUCUCCCCAGCUUAUUUACAUGUAAAGUGAGGCUGAGAGAGAGAGUUUUGCUCUUGGUUUCCUCCCUUUCUCUCUCUAAAGCCGAUUGUGGGCAAGGUGGAGCUCGGGUGGAGUUUCGUCGCCGACGUGGUGCCGCGGAGCCGUUCGAGCGCACGUUGUGUCGUCUUGGUGCUGUGAGGAGCUCGGGCGAGCGUAGAUUUCCGUCGUCCUCGACAUUGCGCCGAUUCUUGAGGAUCUAUCGAGGUGAGUGCUCUGUGGAAUUGCUGCGCAUACUUCGGGUAUCAUCAAUUCGAGCUUAAGUGCUGAUUCGCAGGAUUUUGUCGUCGACUGUUAGUAUUUCAGCUCGUUCUCGACGUAGGAGCAUCGGAUUGCGACGAUACUUGGUGCAUUGGAUUCGGGACUUCGAGAGGAAUCCACGAAGCCCUUACUUGCGAAUUUUGGUGAAGGUUAGCUUGGUCGAAAUCCUUCUCUUCUCUGCUGCUGUGGAUUUUGGGACUGAAUUGGUGGAUUUUGAUCGUAGAGCUUGGAGUUAGCUCGAGUGCUAGACUUGGAGGGUUCCCGUUGAUCCAGCAGGGGUCACUUUGGUUCGAGGCCUUGUUCGCUGCCAGGAGCUAGCUUCUUGAGGUGGGUUACAUCGGUUUUGACUCCUAAGUUCAUAAUCGUCAACAUGUAUAGAUCUCGAUUUUGAUAAUUUAUUCUAGCUCGAAUUCAUGGAUUAUAUAAUAGAAUGCAAAUCUGAAUUUGGAGCAUGUGGUAAUAAAUUAAGUAGAUUAUAUAUGUUGGACUUGGAAACUGAAUUAGGAGAAAACCUGCGAUUUGGACCGUCACUUGAUUAAACUGCUUGAUUUAGCUCUAGGAGCCGUUAUUAUAUUGUACUGUCGCAGUAUCUUUGAGUCGAGUACUCCUGAUAGUUUAGAAUGUAUCUACACUCGUGCUGGUUCGCCGAGGGGAUUUUACAGGGUCGUUCAGGCUGUUCCGGACUGUAGGGUGCCGUUGAGAUUGACGGUGGACCCGUAUCGUCUUUUUGGCGUCUGAUUGUGCCGAGGGCACGUUACUUGUUGGUUGUUAGACCAGUUAGAGUCGAUUUCUUGACUUUGGCUUUUCAGAGCCUGUUUGAGCUCGACAGAGAUACACUGCAUACUCGGUUGGGUAGCGCCCACGAGUACCACUCCGGAGUCAGGCUUUGUGCUUUCGCGUUGGUAUUGCUCAUGCCAGUUGGACUUACUCUCCACGGACCAGUUAGUGUGGAUAGAGCUUGAUAGUUGCAACGGAGCAGGGACGGGUGUAUUCACAGUCCCGGGGACGGGUAUGCUUACAGUCCCGAUUGGAUUGGGUCAGAGUUGACAUUUCCUACAGUUGGUGAGUGUAGAGCAUGAUAGUGUAGUGAUCGAUAGCGGUAGAGUUUAUUUCCUGCUUUUCUGACUACUCUUGCUCCCUUUUGUAGACUUGGUGGGUGGACCGAUGUUGUCUUGGGCGGUACCUACUGAGGACUACUUGUUUUUAUAGUAGUUCUCACACCCAGUUGUUACCUAUGUUUUUGCAGAGCCACAGGUUCCGGCUGCUGCACCAUCCGCGGACCAGGAUCGAGGCAAGGGCGUCGCGAGUUAGAGCCCUACCCGACGUGCUGAGCUAGAGGUGCCCCUACUGCAGGUAGAUGUUUUGUUUCGAGUUUAUGUACAUAGUUGACUUAACUCGCCAGUGCGAGUAGCUCUGUAUUUUGGAUUUUGAACUAUGUAUAUGAAACUCUGUUUGUUUAGCUUCUAUUUUCUCUAGCAGCUCUCUACUACUGUUCGUAGUAGUGUUUGAUUUACAGGUACAGCUGUCGCUUCGUAUACGGGAAAAAUUUUUUUGUAUACGGCGGAUUUGUCGGCGUGCCCGGGGAACGUGUAAUCCGGGGCGUGACACUGACACUGUACAUUUUCUGUUAAUUUAUCUGUCCCGUUUCUCACAGAAAAUUCUAAAUCUUCUGUUUUCGCUCCGAUUUCAGCACAGGUCAUUCCCAACCUAUAUUUCACUUCUCUAAAUCCAAUAAAAUAGUAUUUCAUACUAUUUUAUUUAUUUUCACUUUUAUAUUUAAAAUCCAGUAUGUUACAUUCCACCGCAACCUCACCGGAACCAUUUAAAUGUACACCGUGACUUUAUGAUUUUAGAAGUUCGGUAUGUUACAUUCACCAUGGUUGCCAAAUAGGCCUUACACCCUCCUUUGAUCAUUUUCUUCGCCCUCACAGAUGAUAUAGUCACCGCUAAGCGCCUACUUUUGCACGCUUGGUACACCAAUUCUUCUUGAUUAGGCUCACGAAAAGUGAUCACCUUGCUUUCACAAUCUAUAACCGCAUAGUACUUUGAGAGCCAGUUGAUCCCCAAGAUAACAUCGAAUCCCCACAUCUGAUCUAGCACUAGCAGAUCAAUCAGCAUAAUCCAAUCACCUAUUUGCACUGGACACGCCAAACACUCAUUGUGGACACUGAAUGAAUGUUCUGGGGCAUUCACCCACCAGUAAUCCUCGUUGUAUACCAUCUCUAUGCCAUGAGUUUGAGCAAAUGAUGUGCUAAUGAAUGAAUGAGAUGCGCCUGUAUCAAAUACUGCUCUAGCUCUAGUGCCUUUAAUCACAAUUAUACCUGCCACGACGUCGUCGGGUGCUGCAGGUUGUUGCUCCUCCACCUGAGCGGCAAAGACUCGGCCGCUAGGCGCUCUCGAUCCCUCCAGCUGACGCGGUGAUGACGCGCGCCCAGUCGACAUCGCUGGUAGCAACCCCGCAAGCUGUCUCGGGGUAGACGGUGCUGACGACGCCGUCGGUGCAGACGACGUCCAGCUCGGGCACUCCCGGAUAAGAUGUCCCGAUUGGCCACACUUGAAACACUUGCCAUCGCGCUGCGGGCAAGUCGACACUCGGUGCUCUCCGCCACAAAUAACACAUCGAGGAGGUCUCCAGUUCCUCGACUGCUAUCGGGGAUACCGAGGGGGUUUCUUAGCAUUCGGCCGGCCCCCGGCACCACCCGCCGUUCGCUUCUUGCCCUUGUCCUUGCUCUCGGUCAUAGCCUCCCGUUCUUCACGUACAUGGGCGCUACCGUGCUCCGCCCACAAUGCUCUAUCAAAGACCUCCGCAACGGUCGUUAGCUUCAAGAUCUGCACCUUUUCAUAAAUCCUCGACUGGAGUCCUCGCAAGAACCAAUCAGCCCGAUCCCGAUCAUCUCUAACAACAUCGGGAACACAGUCAAUGAUGUGACAGAAUUCUUGCUCAUAUUCUCCCACCGAUCGGUCGCCCUGUCGCAGCUUGCGAAACUUCUCUUGCAACCUCCGCUUUACCUUAUUGGGCAAAUAGUUCGCGAACACCGCUCUUUUGAACUCCUCCCGCAGCAUAAGCGGAAGAUCAGUAGGUCGAUCCCGCUUAACUCGCUUCCACCACACCAUUGCCGCCUUCUCAAGACAAUGGGUGGCAAGGUAUACUUUAUCCUUCUCCGAGGUAUUGAGAUCCUCGAAGAGCGUUUCCAUCGAGUCGAUCCACGACUCCACGACCGCUGGCUCCACCAAACCGCCCUCGAAGGUAGGUGGGUUGAACUUCUUGAACUGAAUGAGAGCCGCCAACGUGCGCUCUCACUCCGCCUCUACCGCUGCGCUAUCGGGAUUUGAGGUUCUCGAUACGGCCGGUACUACCGUAACUAGGACAGCCGCUGCUGCCGCCGCUCCCUCGUCCACGCUCGGCACUACCACAAGGGGCGCGACAUGCUCGACACCCGUCUGGGCCGCCGCCGCCUGCUGACGCUCCAAAGCCUCCUGGAGCCGCUGAAUCUGCUCCCCUUGGCGUUGAACGGACUCCGCUUGCUGCCGCACUACUCCAAUAAGCACAGCCACUUGAUCCCUA
rnacentral:lncRNA from 1 species